CGUCACUUGGUGUUGCAGAGAGAGGCGAGGGACCAAGAUGAAGUACAAUCCGAGGGUUUCAAGCUCCCGCCGGAAGAGUCGGAAGGCUCACUUCACGGCGCCGUCGAGUGUCCGGCGAGUGCUGAUGAGCGCACCACUCUCCACCGACCUCCGCAGCAAGUACAACGCUCGCUCCAUGCCCAUUCGCAAGGACGACGAGGUCCAGGUCGUUCGGGGAACCUUCAAGGGCCGUGAGGGGAAAGUCGUUCAAGUUUACCGCCGGAAAUGGGUCAUCCAUGUCGAGCGGAUCACUCGCGAGAAGGUUAACGGAUCCACCGUCAACGUCGGCAUCAAUCCUUCCAAGGUCGUGAUCACAAAGCUACGCCUCGACAAGGACCGCAAGUCACUCCUCGAUCGCAAGGCCAAGGGUCGCGCGGCCGCCGACAAGGACAAGGGCACCAAGUUCACCGCGGAGGAUAUCAUGCAGAGCGUCGAUUGAUCGGUUCGUUUUUGUCUUUUUGUAACAGGUUUCUGUCUUAGAUGCUCUUUAUCAUGUUUUGUUUGGAUGGUUUAUUUUGAGGAUUUUGCAUUAUAAGUUGAGGUUCAGACGUUUUCUCUGCCAAAAUAUGGAUUUUAUGAUACCUUAAUGGAAUGUUCCUACUUCUUUAUGGUAUGAUAUUGUGCCUAGCAUUCUCAAUUAGCAAAUGGAUUUGUUUAGCUUCUUUUUCCGUGCGAUAUAUUAACUAACAGGGAGCCUUUAAUAUCCUAUUCAUUCCUGAAUCCAAACAAAGGCCUUUUGUUUUGGGUUCCAUCUGCCUGUAAUAUGCUAUGCAUCUGCCUGUAAUCCUUUCUUAGAGUUAGGAAAUACUUGUUUGUAAGUAUUUUCCUCAAAUUCCAAAAUGGAAGACGUGGGAACACAUAAUCAAGUUUGUGUUUGUUCUAUGCAUUGCCCUAGAUGGCUGAAUCUCACUUCACCUGUGAGUGUUUGGACUCCCGUCUGGUGAGGUUGUAAGGUACAUUUUCUUGAUCAUACAAUCAAAUAAGGUGAGGCUUACUGACUAUCGGUUUUCAUUUAUUGGUUGGACUUUACAACCGAGGAUUAUGCUUUGCUUUGCAGAGUCUGGUUAUAUAUGUAUAAUUGCAACUGUAAGGGCAUGCUGUUUGAGCAACAAAUUUUCCUCUAGAAAAUAAAAACUAUCCAAAACUAACAUGUUUUUUGAACUCUUCAAAAGCUUUUUCCUUUCUUUUCUUUUCUUUUGUUUUGAAGGAUGAGACCAAGCACACAUAAAAGACUGAUGGUCAAAACCAGGUGUGCGCUCAUUCAUACCGAGAAAUAGAAAUAAUAGUGCAGGAAUCCAAAUAGGAAGUACCUUCAUGGAUUGAUCUCUCAUGAAGCUCCCCUUCUGUUAAUUUGAGGUGUGAAAUGGUGGGUGAAAUAAUCAUAGAAAAGAAACCAAAAGAAAUACAUAUCCCUUGACAGGAUUCCGGUCAAUCAACUGGAAACAUGCGCUUCAUGAAUGUUAAAUUUAAUAAAGGUCAGAGCUUAGAAUAAAUUAUGUUUGGUUAUAACCCCUCAACCUUUUACAUGUUUUAUACUAUUGUUCCUUUGUAUUCUUUUGUUCCCUUGUAUUCAAAAUCUAACACUUCAUCCCUCAACAUGUUUUGCACUUUGUUACCUUAUAUUUGAAGUUUGACACUUUAAUCCCUCUAGUUUGUUGAAGAAUAGUACUUCGACAUCAUUUAUGAACCCUCCAUGAUUAUAAAAAGGAUUGCUCUGUUCUGGAAGCAAGUUUGAAUUCAGCCCUCCAUGAUUAUAAAAAGGAUUACUCUGUUUUGUACAUUAGUUUAAAUUUGGAUAAAACUAGCUUCAAACGGACAUUUUUGAAGUGGAGUUUCUUAAUUGGCCAAUUGUAUUGAUUUUUUAUUUUAGAUUUUAGAGAAGUUUGAUUUUCUUAUUUCGAGAGAUAUAUGUCUGAAAUUUGUGAUUUUCAGAUCCAUUUACAAAGUGAUAUUUUGAUUGUCUUUAUUCAAAUUGUUGUUGUUUAACAAGCAAACUUGGUGGUAAAUUGUUGUUUAAAGUUACGGGGCAAAGUAUUGAAUUUUGGGACUUCGAAUAUGAGGUUUGUGGGGGCAAGGCAUUCUAUUCUUAUUUGACUGACUAUGAGCUUUGGGGGCAAAGUGUUAUUAUUUAACCAGUUGCUGGGUUUAACCCAAUAUUCUUCAUUGGAAGAGCUUCUUAUACUUUGACUCAUUGGUGAACUGGACACUAAUGCACGUAUCUUUACUGGUAAGAUGAUGACUCACAGGUGAACGGAAGUGAACCGUUUUGCGAUCGACGCAAAUUGGAGAACGUGUAUUUGAAGGUAAACCAUUUUGCAGAGAACAAAGAAUUAAAUUUGUUCUUAAAUAUAAGGCUAUUGGGUUGGUCACCCCUGACAGAGGAGUAAAACUUAUAGCUUCAGUCAUCUAUGGAUACUGUGAUUUCGUUCUGUAAACGGUAAAACACCAAAGAGUGCCAAUUGAAACAUGAAACUUAACCAAAUCAGUUUGGGGCAGACAUUUACUCCGAAAAUAACAAGGUUUGAAAUGUCGAAACUAUCAUUGAUAUUUCGUCCAAAAACUCGAUAGUAGGAAAAAAUAAUCGGAAAAAAUCGCAUUAUUGUGAAAUAUCAGCGAUAUUGCGAUCUUUAUUUUUUUAGAAAAAUGGGUAUUUUUUGAGGAAAAUCAUGAAAAUUUCUCAUUUAAGGACCCCUCACUAUUCACAUGCUUAGUGGAACCCUAUUCACUCCACUCCUCUUACUAGUUGCACUUUGCAGAAGGGCGCGACUCGAACCCAAGUCAAAAAUUUACAUUAAACCUUAAAAACUAAAAGUUGAUUUGCACUUUGAAGAAGGGAGAAUCGAACCGAAGGCAAAAAGUUUACAUUAAACACUAGGGCAGAUUCACACAUAAAAUUAAAAAUGCACAAAUGCAUGUAUUUAAUUUCAUUAUAAAAACAAGAUAUUAAAAAAAUAUUUUAAGAAAUAAAUAUAUUUUAAUUAUUUUAUUUUUUAAUUUUACUUAAUUGAUUAUCAAAAAUAUAAAAAUUAGUGACUUUUUUUUAUAUCAUUUACAUGAUGAUAAAAUAUAAAAAAUAUAAAUAUAAAUAUUAUUGUUAAACAAUAUUUAAUAGAACUUAAUAAUAAAUAUAUGUUUACAAAAUUCCAUAACAUUAACUAUAAGAAAUUAUAUCCUACAUAUAUUAAUUUUUUUAAUAAAAUAAUUUUUAAAUAUCUAUUAUUAUUUCUUCUAUCAUUUCUUAAAAUUUUUCUCAGCAUUUGGAUCUAAUUUUGUCUCAUCAAUUUUAUUUUUUGUCAAAAUACCUCUCAAUAUUUCCUGAUAUAUUGAUAAAAUCCAAAUAUCAUUAUAUAUAUAUAUAUGAGAUUACUAAUAUUUUCGAAAUAACUCUCACAUUGAGAAUCCUGCAGAUCACGAUCAAAACAAAAUGUUCUGGCACAUUGCAAUAAAGCAGUCUCCAAUAAAUUUGGCACUACCACUCUCCAACAAUCCUCCACUGGAGGGUAAGAAAAUGUUGCAUCUAUGUCAAAAUGAUGAGAAAACGAGGAAAAAAAGACCACAAGUAGGAGGCCUGAACAAAAAUACAAUCCAUCCACAAUCCAAAACCUAGAAAUGAAUAUAUUGUGGAAUUAUUUAUUAAGAGCUCCCUUUCAGGCGCCACUGAAAAAUAAAAAGGGUAUGGACUUCAAACGACAGAAUACUCCAACAGCAGAAAACCACUCAAGGCUUGAGAGCAAGGGCCAGCCCAAACCUAGGAGUUUUGUCCAGCGCCUUGGUNNNNNNNNNNNNNNNNNNNNNNNNNNNNNNNNNNNNNNNNNNNNNNNNNNNNNNNNNNNNNNNNNNNNNNNNNNNNNNNNNNNNNNNNNNNNNNNNNNNNAAGCAAUGCUUGGGGUACCAAUGGUGACUGAAAGAUCAACUGCUGGUGACUGAUUCAAUGCAACUGAUGUAGUGAGUGUUGCAUGAUCAUGGAAGUACUGAACCUCCAGCUGCAUAAACAAAUGGCAAACAUAAGAACGUAAAAACUCAACAUAUGUAUAUAAAAUCUCACCUAGCAUAGAGGAUGAUUUGUACCUUGCCAGAAUUGUAAUCAGGAAAUUUGAAUGAGGCAAUAGUCUUAGUGGAUGGAAUAAUCUCUGUGAAUGUAAGGGUUGUAUUGAUCUGCCAUAACAAUGAAAGCAGAAGAUGCUUAUUGCAGACACAAAAACUCUUAGUAAAAAUUUUAAAACCGAUAAACCAAGUGACCUACAUUUGACCCUGUGUCAGCUUUUACAUCAAUGACAGAAUUUUUGUAUUUGUAUUGCACUGCUACAUCGCCAGUUGAGAGUCCUCCUUUCUUCACUGCAGUUGAUGUGAUGGCCUAAAGAACAGUAGUUGGCAUUCAGUUGUUGCUCCCAGUUCACAUUGCACAGGAUAAAAAAUACAAAUAGAUGACAGUCACAACCGCCACCAAAUGUUGUCAGGAAGCAAGCAUGAGCCCAAAACCAUUAAUACCAAAUUUAAGGACCAAAAGUUAAAUUUUGUAUAUUAGAGAUUAAUAAAUACCAUUAGGUGUGAUAAAUGAUACAAAUAACAACAGGUGAAAUAGUAGUAUAACUAAUAUUUGCACUAAGAAAGAACAAAACUAUUGUACACUAUGGAAAAUGGAAAUGGCUACAUGUGCACUGAUUUGGAAUUAGAGCUUCAUCAAAAAAAUUACUUAGUCUAUUGAGCAGGGUGUACAAAUUGAACUUCAAGGUUUCUUUCUUUUUUUUUUUUUGAUAGAUAAAAAGGAAGUAUAUUAAACGAAAAGAGGAAGCACCAAAAACAGUGCCCUCCAAGUAUACAGGGAGUAUACAAACAAGCCCAAAGACACACCCCUAAGGGGAAAGGAAAGCAACACACCAACUUCCCUUACUUAGAGCCUAACUAGUCUAAAAAACUUACAAGAGAAGAAGGGCUCAAAACUAAAGAAAUCUUGACCCAAGACCAAAGAUUACAUACAAAAGAAUAAACAUGUCUGGAACGUACAAAUUGAACUUCAAGGUUUCUUGCUCAAUCUCAGUGGUAGAUUAUUUAUUAACAUGUCUGGAACAUUUCACCAUUAAUAAACACAACUGCCCUGUAGACACCUGCAACCAUGCCUGUCUUGCACAGAUCCUAAACACACAAUUUUGAAACUCUGGCAUGCUACAAAUGUGGCCUAAAGAUUUUGUAACAAAGGAAUAUCAAAAUUCCUGCAGGGAAAAUAAAUACAUUACCAUAUCAAAAGCCACAUAUUUCUUUCCUAUAGAGAAUCCAUCUAAAAUCUCACUACAUAACAACAGAGUUCCAAAAAGGUUUCCCAAUGAAUAACAAGAAAAAAAGCACAUUUUUUAUAUACCCACUCUUCUCCUAUGUCCUGAUAGCAUAUACCAACUACUCAAUUCCAUAAUUCCUUACAACUAUGGGACUUUUUUUUUACUUCUGCUUUCAUGGAUAAACAUAAAGUCAUAUAGAAGGCACCAAACAAAAGGGGAAGCACCAUUUCUAUAUGGUGGUAUAUAAAAGGGACCAAAGAAAGAAGAAAAUACAUACCCCUCCAACAAACAGCAAAACUAUGUCCAUCUAUCCACAAUUUAGACUACAAAUGAAGUCUAGCAACAUAUAAUAGUCAACCCUAGCAAGGACCUCGAUUACUUUAAAAGGAACUUGAUGAAAUUGGCUUUUGAUCUGAAUGCUCUUUUUCACUAUAAGUUUGAUCAUUAUACUCUCUCCAAAUGCACCAAAAUAGGCAAAGGGGUGCCACCUCACUAAGCCUUCCUCAUCCACUUUAUCCAAGCCUUGAAUCUUNNNNNNNNNNNNNNNNNNNNNNNNNNNNNNNNNNNNNNNNNNNNNNNNNNNNNNNNNNNNNNNNNNNNNNNNNNNNNNNNNNNNNNNNNNNNNNNNNNNNGGUGCCACUCACUAAGCCUUCCUCAUCCACUUAUCCAAGCCUUGAAUCUUUCAGCACAACAGAAGCUCCCUAAUUGACUCUAGAAAAAACCAACUGCAUCCCAAGAAUAUUCAGCAACAAAUCCUACAGCUGUCAUGUCCAAUUGCAAUGGAUCAGAAUGUGCUUUCUGGUUCCUUGAUAGCUUUACAACUACAAAUCUGGCAUUCUGAUGUAUAUGAUUGCAUUAUCUCAACAAGUGGUCAACUUGUCCAUUUCAUUAACAUCCAGUUACGAUCAUUUCCGAUGCCAUAAAGAGUAUGGUUCUAUAGUUGUCUUAUAAAAUCCUCUUUAGUUGGGAAACUAAAAAUUAACUCAAACAUUAGUUAGAAGCAUUGUCCAUUUGUUCAUCCCACUCCAUUGUUAUGGGCAACAUGGUUUCAUCUCAAGGGUUUGGAAGGGAGGCCAUCUUUAUUUCUCUAUAGCAAAUCAAACCAAGAAAAAUUACAAUGAUAAUACUAAUGUGUUGCUUAGCCCUAUCCCUUCCUUUGUACUCCUAAUAUUACCAAAUAAUAAUAAUAGUAAUUUUUUGUAACCUAUUAGUGCCAAGUAUAGGCAAAUGUCUAGGUGUCUAAUCCUUCACACCUACAAAUUUUAGGAUAUGGAGACUUAGCUAAGAUGUAUCUCAAUGAUGGAUGUAAACACUUGGCUACAACAUAAUAAUGGGAAAACAAAAUCAACUAGAAAUCAAUAAAAAAAAUAAAGACAUCUUUGAUAAAAACUCUCCUUUUCUCUUUUAUCCUUGCUAAGGAAGUUGAAAUGGAAAUAUAAAUCGAUCAAAACCAAAUAGUCACAUCUGAAGCAAAGUAGGAGUAUCCAACAAGGCUCUCACACUCACAUUGUGUUGACACAAUUACACAAGGUGCAAUUGGAGAGUCCGGGUAUCAUAGCAUGCUUCUCAAAACUACAUCACAAAAUUUCCUUGACAAUGUCAGUUGAUCUAAUCAACAUUUCCUUAUUCCCUAAACCUAUAGGAUGGUAGUGGUAAAUUAUGGCACAGUGAUUCAGUUCCCCCGACAUAUUUUCUCCUUCACUACAAAAGAAUGUUAUAAAGAGCACAAUCAUAUUCCCCUCCAUCUUCCAUAUCAAAACAAUCCAGUAUUGUAGGCUCAGGUUUGUUGCAGAGGGGAAACUUCUUUGUUUUGUAAUGAACAAGCCACAAAAAGGCACAUGUUCAUUUUCUCAAAUAAUUAAUAAGUUUCUCAAGUGAACAAUUUCAACAUGGUUCACUUUAACCCUGUCGCACAUUGGAUGAAACCAGACAUCCCUUUUUCAAAUCAAGAAAAAGGCUUCAACCUAUACACUUUGUCAUGCUUAGGCAUUAACCCAAAAAAAAAAAUAGGAAAGAAAAAAAAAAUUGCACCUUCAACUUGUCAUUUUAAUCAAACAGGCUUGUCAAAUUCUAGAUUAUUUUUAAAUGAAAACACAUCAACAGAUAGCCUUCAAACUUGAUUACUUAUACACAACAUCAAACUUUGUAAAGCUAAAUAAUUUAAGAAUCCAAUUGAGUGACAUCACAUAAACACAAAAAUAAAUUAAAUAAUUGAAUAUUCAUACAAUCUAUUCCACUUUCAACUUCCACUAAAGCCUCUAUACUAAUUCUUGAUUCUUCCAAUGUCUAUACAAUCCAUCAUUAUAAGAAUGCAUAUACAACCUGGUUUUCCAAAUCAACAUCAUACCUCGAAAUCAACCAUAAGCCAAAAACAGCGACCACUCCAACCUAAGCAAAUUUAUCAUCAAUUCUUACAAGAAUGACGAUUCCUAAUAAAUGAGAAUGAAACAUUUACACAGGAAACAGGUUAAAGGUCACAAGAUCUUAUCGAGACUAAAAGCACUAACACACCUUCUUUCAAAUUCAGCUAAAAGUUAAAUCAUAACUCCUGCCAUUACAGUUUAUUGAAAUUAAAUGCACAGUCUACGCAAAAAAUAGUCGAUCCCAAUGCGAUCCAAAACUACCGUCAUAAUUGUCCGUCAAACCCUAAACUAUUGGUCUAGGCAUCUUCAAAACAAUAUUUAGAAAAGAAAAAAAAAAAUAACACGGAGAUAGAUCGUUAGAGAUUCAAUCCCUACCACUCCCGUAUCGCUGUAUGUGGAGACGGUGAAUUUCUGAUCGGAGAUGUAAUCCCUCGUGAGAAGAUCUACAAUCAAAUUAAGAAACUAGGGUUUCACAAUCAAAUCAAAUAUGAGCACCAGAUAUUUCAGAACAUGUGCGAGUAGAAUGACUACCUUUGGCUUUCUUCCCUAUAUCGGCGAAGAGUCCUGGUCCCUUGCUCAUGUUUGCAGAAAGGAAGGGGAGUAUCCGAAUGCCGCAAUGGGAAGAUUGGAGGUAGGAGGUGGGAAGAGGAGAGAGAUGCGAAGAAUUUUCGUAUUUCUUUUUUUCGUGGUCACCACCAAAAUUGCGAAAGCCGAGUGUAAAAGUUGGCUGUGAGCGGUUGUGGUGACAGCCGAAAUGUCGACCGUGGAUUUAAAUGGAGGGGCUGCAUCGUGUGGCGGUAAACUAUACCUACAGAAAAUCGAAAAAUCGGCGAUCAAAUUGAGCGUGGGACGACGCGCGUGGUGCGGCGACAAAAAAUGGGCAAUUUUUUUUAAAAAAAAAUCGCCACUUUUUUUUAGGACUUUUCAAAAAACGCCAUUUUUUUUAUAUAUAUAUCCUGUUUUUUUAAAAUAAAAUAAAAUAAAAGUUAUCUUUUAUUUUAAAUUUAUAUUAUCAUUUUAUUUUAUAUUAUCCUUUUAUUUUUAACUAUUUUUCACAUUUAUCUCCUUAAUCUCAUUUCAAAAAAUUACUAUCACUCUACUCUUAACUUUUUUAUAUUUAUCUUUUUAAUUUUAUUUAAUUUUAAAUGUUUUAUUUUAAAUAUUAAAAAUAUAAUUUUACUCAAAUUUUUCUAAAAUAUAAAAAAUAACUAAUGAAGUUCUAAAAUUUUAUAAAUUAAAAUUAAUUUGAUAAGAUAAAUUAUUAAUAAUUUUAAUUAUUUAAAUAAAGUAACGUUAAUAGAAAAGUUGUCACUACAUAUUUGUUAAUGAAAUUUUAGAAAUUAAAUCGUAAAUAAAAUAUUUUAUAUAAAUUAAUUUAGGUUUUUAUUUAAAAUGUAAUAAAACGUGUUUUAAUAAAAAUAUUUUUUUAAUUUUAAAAAUAAAUGAAUGUAAAUACAUUAAAGGAAAUUAAGCUUUUUUUUUUAUAAAUAUUUGAUAAAUAUUAUCUUUAAUCAUACUCAUGUCAAUUACAUUUAUAAAAUAAUUGUUAUUUUUCUUAUCAUUUUUUUUUUAAGUCUUUUAAGUAUUUUCAUUAAUUUUUAGUCAUUUCAUUUCUGUUUUGAUUGAUGUUUUUAUCACAAUAUUUACCAAUAUUUUUUUUAUAUAUUUACAAUAUAUCCACUAAAAUUCAAAUAUCAAUAUAUCCAAUUUACCGAUAUUUCAUACCUUGGUUAAGAUCAAUUCAUUGAUUGAUCAAAUCAUUACAUUUAGUAAGGGAUUGUUAGUGAGAUAAUCAAUUUGGUAUCUUAGUGAGUUAAGGUUCUCUUUAACCAAUUACAAGAUUAAUAUACACUACCAAUCAAUCCUUCAUUUUCUUGCUCAACGAUCAAGUGAUCAACUAACCUACUCUUGGUUUUGAAUUUUUGAAAACUAUUUAAUCUUUAACACAUACUUGAAAAAGCUAGUUUUCCUCAAUUUGUUGAGGUCAUAUGCUUCAUCCAAUUUAAGAUUUGAAUGCAUUUUAAAAUAAACUGGAUGAAUUUUUAUUUUUUUUCUAAACAAAAUUAUAAGACUAAAUAAUUUAAAAAAAAAAAAUCCUAUUUCAAAGCACUUCCACCUUCCAUUGCAAAAAAAUCUUAAAAACAUGAACUUUGAUUCAAAGCUUUCUUGGAGCAUGUUGCUUAUAAAGCAUUGAGUCUUACGCCAACAAAAGCUUUUAACACAAACAUAUUAAUUCAACAACAUAAAAAUAAAAUAAUCAAUACAUAUGUAUAUGAGGUUUUAACAUUAUUCAGUCAACCAUAUCUACAUCUAUAAAUGAGAGAUAAUUUUUUCAUUAUAUCAUAAAGAACAUUACAAAUGACAAAAUCAUAUAUAAUUAUUGGGUUAUCGAACCAUCUUAUAUUUUCUCACUUUUUAUAUCCACAUCCUAAACCACGAACUCUUUUGCUCUAUUAAGUAUCUUUUAUUCUUCGUCACAUCUCUUUCAAUCUUCUAUAAUCUCUAAAAAUUCAUAUUUAUCUCAUGACUUCAAAUAUUUAUAAUAACGUUAUUUAUUUUAUAAAAAAAUAUAAUAUUACAAUAAUAUGUCAACCUAUAAAAUAUUUUAUACAAUAUUCUUUACAAAAAAAAUUAUUAAUUAGAAAUUUAAUACACUUCCCAAAAUUUUAGCUAAUUGAGUUCAAUUAUCCAUUCAAGGCAGGCUCCCGUCUUUCCAUUAGCCAAACCAUUGUUGCCCUGAGUAGGUCUUUUUGUGGGUCCCUUCAAUUGAACAUUUGCAAAGUAACAAACUAGAAUGGUCCUCUGAAAGCCACAAGAUCUUUGACGCUUAAGGGUUGUUAGUAACAAAUGAAAUCAUAAAAGGAAAUUUUUUGUGACUUACCUGGGUUGUGAGGUGCUGUCUCUAUAAGGAUCUCCUGCUGAUAGUUGCCUUGGGUUGUGUGGAGUUGUUUUAAAAAAUAAUUAUAUAAAUAUAAAGAAUAAUUAAAUAUAAAAAUUAAUUUUUAAAUAUAAAAAAUAAAUUAAAAAUAUUUUACCUUUCAAAGCAAACAUUCAUUUUAUAAAAUAUUAUAAAAUUAUUUUCAAAAAUUAUUUUUCAAAACUAUUUAAAAAAGUAGCUACCAAAUCAGGGAUAAUUUUCUAUUAUUAAAAAUAAAAAAUUCAAUAUUUCAAAGGAUAUUUUUAGUCAUUUUCAAUUAUUUUUCCUUCAUAUUUGGAUUGUAACUUAAUCUCAAAUGAAAAGUUUAUAAAAAAAUAUUUAUACUUUCAUUAAAAUUAAUAUUUACAAAUUUUUUAAAAAUCAUAUUUAAAUAAUCAAAUAUUUUUAAUUAAAAUUAAUAUUUACAGAAAUUUAAAAUACCAGAUUUAGGUAGUUUUCAAUUAAUAUUUUUCAUGAAAAUUUAUAAUUUUUUUAAUUAUCAAAUUCAUCAUUUUAUUUAUUUGUAUAGUUAUACAAUUACCAAAAAUCUUGUUUUUUUUUUAUUUAGCCGAAAGGCAAUUUAUCUUUCUUUUAUUUAUGGGCUAUCUAUUACGUGACAUUAUUUUAUUUGUGAAAAAUUAGACCAUGUCAUGGCUUAUAACUGACUAAUUUAUGAUCGAAAAGUGUAUUAAAGCUUUGGGGUUAUAACCCUGAGUGUAGUUUAGACUUUGGUUUGAUGUGACUUGAGUAUUAACUUGAAUUGGGCCAACCUGACAUAAGUUCUGACUUGACUUAUCCCUCAACUUGGGUAGAGCCUUGGUUUAAUUGGGCCUUGCCUAACUUGGGCUUCUGGGUGAAUUAGUUUUAACUUUAGUUGGGCCUUAGUGUGACUAGGCUUUGGGUAACUUGGGCCUGACAUGGCUUAUGAUUUGAUCAAUACCUUAAUUUGAGUUGGGCCUUUGUAUGACUUUAGACUUAGGACAACUUGGUUUCUUGCUUGACUUAGGGUCUUAAUAUGACCUAAACCUUGAGGUGAUUUCAGUUUUGAAUUGAAUUUGGUUUUGACGUUACUUAGACCCUUAAAUAAUGUUGAUUUAGGGCUUGAGUAGCUUGAUAAUGAAUAUGAGAAGUUUUUUUUUUUUUUUUUAACAAAUUUGGAUAUCAAGCUUGAAACUUUGAAAAUUCUUAAUAAUACAAAUACAUUUUUUAAAAUUGAAGGUUAUGUUUGGUUCUUAAAAAAUUUAAGGGAAAAUGUAAGGGAAAGAAAAUAAAGAAAAAGUAUAACUAAAAAAGUGAAGUAAAAUAAAAAAUAAAUUUAAAGUUCGAUAAAUCAUUUUUAUAUGUUACUUCAAACUCAUUUAAUUUUUUUUCUUUUUUCACAUAAAGACAAAAUAAUUUAAAAAUACAUAAAUUUCUAAUUAAUUUUAAUUAUAUACGUUUUUUUUAAUAUUUUUUAUAAUACAACCAAACAUGAAAAAAUUAUUUUUCAUAAUAUUUUUUUUUCUUUCCUUUAUACUUUCCCAUAACCAAAUACAACCACAUACUUAAAGCAUCAAAUAUUCAAAGAUGCUUCGAAAUCUUCUUUAAAAAAGGUAGUCAUUUUUUUUUCCCUUAAAGUUCUAAAGAUGCUUUGAAAUCUUCUUUAAAAAAGGUCUUAAAUCUUUUUUAAAGUAAGUUUUAUAAAUUUUUAAAUGAACUUCUAAGAGUUGGACAAAGUUUGAAAGAGCUAUAAACAUGUACCUUUUGCCUUUUUGAAUUAUUUUGAAAAUUUAGGAGCCUCGGAGGAUCAUAUAUAAUUUUCUCUAUUCUCUUAAAAUUUUAUUUUUUAAUUAAAAUAAAUAUUUAAAAAAUUUUGGCAAUCGAAUUUAAAUAAUUUUCAUCUUAUCCUUUAGAUGAACUCUUAUAUUUAUUUUCCAACCAUCAAAUUCACUUUUUUUUUUUUUAAUAAUUUUAGUUUAAUGAUCAAAAUCCAUAUUUCUUUAUUCAAUAGAAGAUACAUGUCUUUUUCUUUUAUGUGCUUUCAAAUAACAUACAUUAUUUUAUUUGUAACAAAUUUAAGUUAUACGAUAGAUUUAAUUUCUCGUAAGUUUAAAUUAAUUAUGAAGAUUCUAUCAUUUUCUCUUUAGUCCAUAAAUUAAAUUAAUUUAUAUAUUUGUGAAAAUGUCAAAAUAAAAUAAUUCCUUUUAGUUUCUUUAAUUUGAUCUCAAAUUUGUUAAGUGAUUACAAAAAGUUCAAUGAAAAUUUGAAUUUCUUAAAAAAUUAUUCAUAGAAAUACGUUGAGCCCCAAUAGUUGACUGGGCAUUUAAGGGUAAAACAUUGUUUUCAGUGCAAGGUGUGAGAGUGGUAUCAAAUCAAAACAAAUUUUAAAUACUAAAUCUAGCCUCAAAAGGUUAAUGUUGUCUGGUGAGAUAAUAGGGAUAAGCUUCACUAUCAAGUGGGAAAUAGCCGAGUUACCCAUUAAGACCCUUAAAUGACACCGUUUAAUGAUGAAGGAGAUUGUGGUGCAAAGAUAACCAAAAGAUUUACCUAAAAGUUGUCAAUGAAUUGAACCAUCCAAUAAUUCAAAAAGUCAUGUUAAUUAUUUAUUUUAUAUAUGUUUUAAUAGCUCAUCCGAUACUUAAAAAGUUAGUUGUUUUUUAUGCUUUCAUAAUUGAUCAAUUUUUUUUUAUGAUUGAACCGAAAGCAUAACGCUAAACAUUUUUUUUCCUUCUACUUUUGGUUUCCUUUAUUUCUUUUUCUUUUCUCGCUUUUUCUUUAUGUUAAAGUCCAAUGAAACUUAGCCAAGGUGGGGACGUGUCUUAAUAAUGCUAUAUUAAUAAUCAUAUAAUAUGGUAGAUUUAUAUUAAUUUAAUUCGAAUUUUCUUCCACGUUGUUAUUUCAUAGUAUCGUUUUUCAUGCAUUACACUGAAUCAAACAUCAUCUUGUCAACUACUGCAUGCUUCGAUAUUGCCUUGAAUUGACGCAUGGUGGUGGAUCACACGUGGGCGGGAGGAGCUUUUAGUAGUCCACGACACGUCUCUCCUUCCUCGGGAAUGGAAAAGCCGGAUAAUGCUAUUUUUGGUUUUCAAAAUAUCGGGGGAAAAUAUGAAUCAGAAUAGAAAAAAUAAUUUAUUUUAUAAGUUGUUUUAAAUUCAUUUUUUAUAUUUAUAUAAUUAUUUUUAAAAUAUUUUCAAAAAAUAAAAAUAAAAAUAGGAAAAAAUAAUUAAAAUAUAUUUUCAAAAAAUUCCAUGUUUUCUUUGCAAAUUCUUAUAAAACACUUUUCUAUCAAACAAAUCAUUCAACCUGUUUUCGAAUUUAAACCAGAAAACUAUUUAUGUGUUCAUGAUGAUUCCAUGGAAUGUUAAAUUUUAUAGACCGUGCUUGGAGUUUGAACCACACAAUUAUCAUGAUUCCAAAUUUGAAAUGACAGCCACCACCGCUGAUUUUAUGGCUCCGCAUGCUGGCUAAAACACCAUGCUCUUGAUCUCAUUUUUAUUAAAAGAUAAAAAGAAAAGAAAUAAUAAAAUAAAAAGUGAAAAAAAUAAAAAAUAAAUUUAAAAUCAAUAAAUCAUUUUUUAUAUGUUAAUUUAAACUCAUUUAACUUAUUUUAAGAUUAAAUAAUUAAAAAAUACUUAAAUUUCUAAUUAAUUGUAAUUAUAUUUGAUUUUUUAAUAUUUUUCAUACUACAUCCAAAUAUAAAGAAAUCAUUUUUCUUUUCUUAUAUUUGAUUCUUGAAAAUUUUGAGGGAAAAUGAAAAGGAAAUAAAAUAUAGAGAGAAAAAUAAGAAAAAAAAUAUAAAGGAAAAUAAAAAAUAAAUUUAAACUUAAUAAAUUAAUUUUGUAUGAUUUUUCAAAUUCAUUUUAGUUAUUUUCAUUAAUUAUAUAAAUAUUAAAUAAUUUUAAAAUACAUAAAAUUUUAACUAAUUUUAAUUAUAUUUGAUUUUUUUUGUCUUUUUCACAGUAAAAUGAAAUCUAAGAAAAUAAUUUUUCUUAAUAUUUUUUUUUCUUUUUAGUACUUUUUUAUAAGAAAAUGUAGCAUUUGGUUAUGUUUAUUUAUUUUUACUCGCUUUUCCUUUCCUUCAAAUUUUUUUCUUUUUUUCUUUAUGGGAAUAAAAAAAGCCUUAAACUAAGUUUGAUUAUCGGAAAGUUGGAAAAAAAUGUGAAGGAAAGAAAAAAAAAAGAUUUAAAUUUAAUAAAUUAUUUUUAUAGGUAUAUUUUUAUCUAUUAAAACAAGAUUAAGUAAUUUAACAACAUAUAAAUUUCAAAUUAACUUUAAUUAAAUGUGAUUUUUUUAUAUAAAACUAAAUCUUUAAAUUGAUAAAUGGUAGUUUUUUUUCAUUCAUUCUUUCAUUCGUUCAUGUACAGAGUAUGUAUAGAGGGUAAUCACCAUUCUAAGAAUGGGAAAGAAUGAUACAAGGAAAUAACAACUAAUAUCCUAAUAUCUCAAUAUUCCUAAUAUCUCAAUAUUCUUAAUAUCUCAAUUUUCCUAAUAUCUAAACAUUCAUAAUAUCUCAACACUAAAUAAUAUAAGGAAAGAAUGAUAUAAGGAAAACAUUCCUAAUAUCUCAACACUCCCCCUCAAGUUGGUGCAUAGAUGUCACACAUGCCCAACUUGUCUAAAAAUUUUGAGAACACUUGACUUGAGACAACUUUGAUGAGGAUAUCGGCCAAUUGAUCUUCUGAUGGAAUCUUAGGCAAUUCCACAAUCUUAUCAUCCAACUUUUCCUUAAUGAAGAAUCUAUCCACCUCGACAUGCUUUGUAUGAUCAUGUUGUACUGGAUUAUGAGCAAUGUCACAUGCAGCUUUAUUGUCACAAAACAAUCGGAUUGGUUGCCUAGAUAGGUAACCUAAAUCCUGUAAGAGGAGUCUUAGCCAUAAUGUCUCACAAAGUCAUAGAGUCAUACCUCUAAAUUCCGCUUCUGCACUUGAACGAGCGACGACAUUCUGCUUCUUACUUUUCCAUGUCGCAAGAUUACCACCUACAAAGGUAAAGUAACCAGAUGUAGAUCGUCUAUCAUUCACUGCACCGACCCAAUCAGCAUCAGUAUAUACUUCUAUACUCUGAUGAUUAACAUUUUUAGCGAACAAAAUUCCCUUCCCAGGAGCAUUCUUCAAAUACCUCAAAAUACGCAUGACUGCAUUCAUAUGUUGCUCUCCAGGAUUAUGCAUGUAUUGACUCACUACACUCAAUGCAUAAGCAAGAUCUGAUCUUGUAUGAGCUAAGUACAUUAAUCUUCCUACAAGUCUCCGGUAUCUUCCCUUAUCGAUUGAUACUUGAUUAGGUUCAACACACAAUUUCAGACCUUCUUCUAUUGGUGUAUUAACAGGUUGACAUCCUGACAUUCCAGUCUCCUGUAAAAGAUCUAAGGCAUACUUUCCUUAAGACAGAAAAAUUCCUUCACUUGAUCGAGAAACUUCAAUCCCAAAAAAGUAUUUCAGAGGACCUAGAUCUUUCAUUUCGAAUUCUCUAGAUAGAUAAUUUUGCAGAGUUUUUAUUUCUUCAGGAUCAUUUCCUGUAACUACCAUGUCAUCCACAUAUACGAUGAGUGCCGUAAUCUUACCAUGUUGUUUUUUCUGGAACAAAGUGUGAUCUGAAUUACUUUGACGAUAGCCAAAAGCUCUCAUUGACUUUGUGAACCUUCCAAACCAUGCUCUCGGGGAUUGCUUUAACCCAUACAAUGACUUCUUCAAUUUGCACACCUUCUGACAUUGCUUUUCUGACACCAUGCAUCCUGGUGGAAGAUCCAUAUAUAAUUCUUCAAAUAACUCGCCAUGCAGAAAGCCAUUUUUCACAUCGACCUGUUGUAAUGGCCAAUCUAGGUUUGCAGCUAAAGACAGUAAUACUCGAACUGUGUUGAUCUUAGCUACAGGUGCAAAUGUCUCUGUGUAGUCAAUUCCAUAAGUUUGAGUGUACCCUUUUGCUACCAGUCUUGCUUUAAAUCGUUCAAUACUACCAUCUGUCUUGUACUUCACAGUAUAGAUCCAACGACACCCAACUGGCUUCUUUCCUGGUGGACAUUCUACGAGUUCCCAUGUUUCAUUCUUCUGCAAUGAUUUCAUCUCUUCAUUCAUAGCUGCUUUCCACCUUGGAUAAGCUAAGGCUUCCUGCACACUGUUAGGAAUAGCUACAGUAGAUAAUUGAUUUACAAAUGACUUAUUUGAUUCAGACAAACGAUGGUUAGACACAUAGUUGCUCAUGGGAUAUUUGACUUUGGUAGACAAUUCAGGUUCAUACGUGGGUUUAGGAAUACAUCUAUUAUGACGGUGUGGUAACCGUUUCAUGGAUGGGUCAGGUUCCAAAUUAAGAACACCCUCAACAGAUGACGAUUGGUUUGGUAUUUCAGUGAAGACAUCUUCGGACCCAAAUUGUUGACCACUCAUAUCCAACUCACCCGCUUCCUGAUUCACUAGUUCAGACUGUCCAGAUUCAUUCUCCUCAGAGAUAUGAUAAUCAUAAUCGAGAGUCUGAAUUUCCUUAUGGUACUCCCCCUGAAGUUCAGACUCAGAUGAAAAAUACAUCGAAUCUUCAUGAAACACCACAUCCAUUGUAAUAUACAUUUGUCGAGUUGGAGGAUGGUAACAUCGAUAUCCCUUUUUGUGCAAUGCAUAUCCAACAAACACACAUUGCAAUGCAUGAGAAGUUAACUUGGUGCGUUGGUGUUUGUGUAGAUGCACAAAUGCCACAUAACAAAAAACACGAGGAGGUAGAUUUGGGACAGUUGGGGCAACUACGACAUUAGUAAGAGUUUGGAGAGGUGUUUGGAAGUUAAUUGAGCUGGAAGGUACCCGAUUGAUCAAGUAUGCGGCAUAUGUGAUUGCUUCUCCCCAAUAAGAUAUCGGUGUUUUUGCUGCUAUCAAGGAAGCACGAACAACCUCUAACAAGUGCCGAUUUUUUUGUUCAGCGACUCCAUUUUGCUGGGGUGUAUUGGAACAAGUAGUCUGAUGAAUGAUGUCAUGUCCUUCCAAAUACUUUUGAAGAUCAGAACUUUGAUAUUCUCCACCAUUAUCACUACGCAGAACCCGAACCUUUGCAUUGUACUGAGUUUCAAUCAUUUUAUGAAAAUUUUGAAACAAUAAGUUCACUUCAUCUUUGGUCUUCAUCAAACAUAACUAUGUCAUUCUAGUACAAUCAUUAAUAAAAGUAACAAACCAACGUGAGCCACUCAAAGUUGGGACUUUGAAUGGGCCCCAAACAUCAGAAUGUAUAACCAUAAAAGGAAACGAACUUUUGUUUAAAAUUAACGGAAACGAAACACGAUGGCUUUUAGCCAAUUCACAAAUAUCACAAUGGAAACCAGAAAUAUCACUUUUUGCAAACAAACUAGGAACCAAUUUUUUUAAAUAACCAAAGGAAGCAUGUCCCAUACGUCGAUGCCACAACCAAAUUUCAGAUUUUUUCUUCUCCCCCUCAUAUCCAUCUGCUAUCAAGGCUUGUUGCAACUUAUUUGAAUCCUUUAACUACAAGUCUAAGUAAUAGAGUUUUCCCUGCUUAAUACCACAACCAAUCGUCUGUCUUGUUUGGAUGUCCUUAAUCACACAAAAUUCAGGCCAAAAAAUGACAAUACAAGAUAAGGCUGCAGUGAUUUGAGAAACUGACAAAAGAUUGUAAUCUAAAGAUGGAACAACUAAAACAGAAUCCAAAUUCAAAGUAUCAGUAAGAGUUAAGGAUUCUUCCCCAAUGACUAGGGUUGUGUUACCAUUGGCUGUGGAAACAAUUUUUUGUGAGGAAGGUCUAAGGAAUGAAACCUGUCUAGAAUCAAAAGUCGUAUGAUCUGUAGCACCAGAAUCAAUUAUCCAUGCACUAUUAAUAACAGGUGUAAAAGUAUUUAAAAACUUACCACCAUGAUCUGUAGCGGCUACCAAUACUGAGACUUUCUCAGCAACAUUAGCCUCUGUUUUUAUUUCGGCAACAGUUGCAUUCGAGGUUUUCUUGGAAUCCUUCUUCCGUUGAUCACGAUUAUUAUCAUUAAUAACAAAGUGUUGAUAGCCUAAACAUGAUCUAAAGGUCCAUAGUUCAAACCCUCGGUUCCUCAUUGUUUUCAUGGUUAUACCAAGAGUCGUUGCUUUGAAAUUGUGGGAUAUCCAGACUGGUGGGAUCAGUCUUAUUGCAGUGAGAGCAUUUGAAGGUUGACUUAUCAAUAUUAGGGCUUGUCUUAGGAUGGAUGAUCGCUGUUGGACUACCAUAACGACAAAAUAUCCAGGAUUUCAGUUUCAUGGCUCUGAUACCAUCUUCAAAUUGAUAAAUGAUAGUUUUUUUUCAUUCAUUCUUUCAUUCGUUUAUAUACAGAGUAUAUAUAAAAGGUAAUCACCAUUCUAGGAAUGAAAAAGAAUGAUACAAAGAAAUAAUGAUAUAAGGAAAUAACAACUAAUAUCCUAAUAUCUCAACUUUACUAAUAUCUCAAUAUUCUUAAUAUCUCAACUUUCCUAAUAUUUAAACAUUCCUAAUAUCUCAACACUAAAUAUAAGAAAACCAUUUGUUUUUAUAAAUAUUUUUUUUCCCUAGGCUUUAGGUCAUGUUUGGUUUUUUUGAAAGUAUUAAAAAAAUUGCUAAAAAAAAUGAUUUUCUCAUUAUUUCAAGAAAAAUAUAAAAAAAUAAAAUUAAAUAAAAACGGAUGUAUUUUUAAAUUAUUUAAUAAUUUUAUUGAUAGAUUAAAAUAAAUUAAAUGAAUUUAAAAUUAAAAAAAAAACAAGAUUUAUUGACUUUGAUUUUUUUUUUCUUCUACUCUUUAUUCUCUUUCUUUACGUUUUCUCACAAAUUUUCCUCCCUAUUCUCUUUCCUUACAUUUUCUUUUAAAUUUUCCAUAAAUUUCCUCUUUAUUCUCGAUUCUUGCACCUUCUCUUAAGUUUUCAAGACACUUUCCUGGAAACCAAUCAUGACGAGCAUUUUCCUGGAACCAACCAUGACCAAAGUAAACUGGGGGAGAGUUUCCUCGAAAGAUUCCGUCGACAGGGAACGCCAACUCAUUAAGACUUUCCUUAUAGGAGACGGUGGGGAAAGACAGACCAUUUUUAUAGUUUGGACGCCAACGUGAAAUGGAAGCCAAAUUGAGUUGCAGGUUCGGGUACUCUGACGAGUCUGAUCUUAGACUAGACCAACAUCAUUCAAACCUCGUCAUUUGUUAACGCGGAUUCCUUCAAUAAGUUUUAGCAGCCCCUUAUAAAAUAUGUUUGGUCUCUAAAAGGAGCCGGUUUGCUUUUGUCCGAUCAAAUUUCAAAAUGUUUUUAGUGUUUUUGAAAUUAGAAAGAACGAGAAUACUUUCUGAAUUAUUGUCAAAUACAUUCUGAAAUUAAUGUUGUAACACUAACAAGUGAUGGGAAACCCAUCAUGGAUCAUAAUCACAAGGACAAGAAAGCAUUAACCUGAGGUCAACUUUUGGUAUGGCACACCAUCUACCCAUAUGGUUUCAUUNNNNNNNNNNNNNNNNNNNNNNNNNNNNNNNNNNNNNNNNNNNNNNNNNNNNNNNNNNNNNNNNNNNNNNNNNNNNNNNNNNNNNNNNNNNNNNNNNNNNUUUUGGUAUGGCACACAUCUACCCAUUAUGGUUCAUUCAACGCAAGCAACGAUCUAUAAUACUCACACUAAACAUUAAAAAAUAAAAUAAAAUUAAGGUGAAAAUUAUUUUUUAUUUUUAUAGAAUAAAAAAUAAAUUUUAUGUGGUGUUUUAUUUUUAAUUAUUUUAUGUAUUUAUAUAAUUAUUUUUUAAAAUAAUUUUUAGAAAAUAAGUAAAAAUAAUAAAAAGAUAUUAUUUAAAAAUAUUUAUUUUUUAUUUUUAAAAAUAAAAAAACAAAAAACAUGUUUAAUAAUUAUUAAACAUGUUUUUUAUGUUUUUAUUUCUGAAAAAUAAAAACUAUUUUUUUAAACAAUUACUUUCCCUAAAUUACUAAUAAUAAUUUAGUUAAAAUAUAAAAGUAUAUUUUUGUAUAAAGACAUCGCUGAAUAAAUAAAUGUAGGUCUUACAAGCGCGUAACCGCGUGGGGCCACCACUGAGCAAAUUUGAAAUACCAACUAGUCAAGAAGCGUUAUGCCGGAAUUGACUCGGGCAAUUGGUUCCAUUUGCCAAAGAACUAGAAGAGCGGAUCUUCUUCUUCGUCUUCCUCAUAAUUUCGUCUGUUUCGGAUCUGAGCGGUAAAUUUGUUGUAUUCGUAUAUUACAAUAAGAUCGAGCGGGCAACGCGGUGGGGGUUUCUGCUUUUUGCUGUGGUAGUUUCUGGGAAUGUAAAGCACACUUAGGAGGUGGGAGGCUUUAGAGAAUUUUCUUGGUGGUUUCGUUUGGGAGGCGGGGGAAGGGUAUAUGAAUGAGGGAGGAGUGUGGUUGUGCAGGUAGAGAAACAAGUUACAAAAGCGAUUACAAGAGCUAGUGAUGGAAAGCUAUUUGGACGAGAACUUCUCAGGAGUGAAGCCAAAGCAUUCGUCGGAUGAGGUGUUGCAGAGAUGGAGGAAUCUUUGCAGUGUUGUCAAGAACCCCAAGCGAAGGUUCCGCUUCACUGCCAACCUCUCCAAGCGUGGCGAGGCGGCUGCUAUGCGCCGCACCAAUCAGGUCUCCUCUCUAAUUCAUUACAUUUGCCUUUUAUUUGUAAAUAAGCUCUCCUAUUGGAAACCUAAAUAUUGGACUUGAUCUGGAACUUGAAUAUGGGCAUUUAUUUUUUGGGAGGCUAUGGGUUUUAAAUCUCGUUCCUUUCUCAAACCCUUUGUAACAUCCGCUCCCAGUUUCUAACAUCCUCCUAAUCGUUUAGAUAUUGUGGGCCGCGUGAGAGUCUUAAAACGCGUUCCCAAACCGUUUAGAUAUUGUCGUUAGCGUGAGAGCCUUAAAACGCGUCUACAAGCAAUUUUUUCACCCAAUCCCACAACCUUCUCCACUCCAUUUUUUUUUUUUUUUUUAAUAAUAAUUGUGAAGUAGAAGGAUGCAAAGGUUCAGCUGAACGGAAACGGAAAUAGCGAGGAUUAGGUUUCAUUGAGUUGAGAUGAAGAUUCAAGAUUAUCUUGGGCACUAGGAAGUUACCAAAAUAUUUUGAUAAACGUGGUCAAGUUUAUCAUGCCUCUUUCAAGAUCAUCUUAAACACUUAAAAACUACCAAAAUCUUUUGAGUAUUCAAGAUUGAUGGAUGUGCUCAAGAAUUAAAAACUACCAAAGCUUUGAUUUCUCUCAUUUGACUUCAGUUCUUACUUUCUCCCGACAUUCCUGGAUUUAUUGCUCAGUACUUUUAUUUGCCCAAGUUGUUUUUCCAAUGAACUUUUUAAUUCUCAACUUCAGCGAAGAAGGCUUUGCCAACACAUAAUAUCUCUUUUAACAUAACUAUGAGAAUUUGUCCUCUGUAUUGUUUAGUGACUAACUCUUUUCUGUAUUCAUAUGUAGGAGAAAUUGAGAAUUGCGGUAUUGGUUUCCAAAGCAGCAUUUCAAUUUAUCCAAGGUGAGCUUCUUCUGAAAUCAAUUAUAUCUAAUAUUUAUUAUGUUAAAACUUAAAAGGUUCUCCAAAUCGAUUCCUCUUGGGAUAUUUGCAGGUGUACCUGUCAGCGACUAUGUUGUACCUGAGGAAAUCAAAGCUGCAGGUUUUCAGAUUUGUGCUGAUGAAUUGGGAUCCAUUGUCGAAGGCCAUGAUGUAAAGAAGCUGAAAAUUCAUGGUGGGGUAGAUGGUAUUGCAGAAAAGCUAUCCACAAGUACAACCAAUGGGCUUACUGCCGACAAUAAAUUGCUGAAUCACAGACAAGAGAUUUAUGGGAUAAAUAAAUUCACUGAAACUCAAGCUCGAGGCUUCUUGGUAUUUGUUUGGGAAGCCCUUCAUGACAUGACACUCAUAAUCCUUGCUGUGUGUGCGCUUGUGUCUCUGAUAGUUGGCAUUGCAAUGGAAGGGUGGCCGGUGGGGGCCCAUGAUGGCCUUGGGAUUGUUGCUAGUAUCUUGUUGGUUGUGUUAGUCACGGCAACAAGUGAUUAUCGGCAAUCUUUACAGUUUAGGGAUUUGGACAAAGAGAAGAAGAAGAUCUCCAUUCAGGUCACAAGGAAUGGAUAUAGGCACAAAAUGUCGAUAUAUGAUUUGCUUCCUGGUGAUAUUGUGCAUCUUUCUAUUGGAGACCAGGUCCCUGCUGAUGGACUUUUUGUUUCAGGAUUUUGUGUGUCAAUUGAUGAAUCAAGUUUAACUGGAGAGAGUGAACCGGUAAUGGUAAGUGCAGAAAAUCCUUUUCUGCUGUCUGGAACUAAGGUUCAAGAUGGAUCAUGCAAGAUGAUGAUUACUACUGUUGGAAUGAGAACCCAAUGGGGUAAAUUGAUGGCCACUCUUAGUGAAGGGGGAGAUGACGAGACCCCAUUGCAAGUUAAAUUGAAUGGAGUGGCAACGUUUAUUGGGAAGAUAGGNNNNNNNNNNNNNNNNNNNNNNNNNNNNNNNNNNNNNNNNNNNNNNNNNNNNNNNNNNNNNNNNNNNNNNNNNNNNNNNNNNNNNNNNNNNNNNNNNNNNNNNNNNNNNNNNNNNNNNNNNNNNNNNNNNNNNNNNNNNNNNNNNNNNNNNNNNNNNNNNNNNNNNNNNNNNNNNNNNNNNNNNNNNNNNNNNNNNNNNNNNNNNNNNNNNNNNNNNNNNNNNNNNNNNNNNNNNNNNNNNNNNNNNNNNNNNNNNNNNNNNNNNNNNNNNNNNNNNNNNNNNNNNNNNNNNNNNNNNNNNNNNNNNNNNNNNNNNNNNNNNNNNNNNNNNNNNNNNNNNNNNNNNNNNNNNNNNNNNNNNNNNNNNNNNNNNNNNNNNNNNNNNNNNNNNNNNNNNNNNNNNNNNNNNNNNNNNNNNNNNNNNNNNNNNNNNNNNNNNNNNNNNNNNNNNNNNNNNNNNNNNNNNNNNNNNNNNNNNNNNNNNNNNNNNNNNNNNNNNNNNNNNNNNNNNNNNNNNNNNNNNNNNNNNNNNNNNNNNNNNNNNNNNNNNNNNNNNNNNNNNNNNNNNNNNNNNNNNNNNNNNNNNNNNNNNNNNNNNNNNNNNNNNNNNNNNNNNUAAUUGAAAAAAUAGGCACGUGUACCUGCAAUGAGCUAGUUGAUAAGACUUAUGUGGCCGGUUAUCUUGAUUGAAAAAUCAGGGGAAUUCAUUCCAUUAUCUUUAUUAUUUUGGCAUCUAUUAGAGAUGUGUAUAGCUUAGAUAUAAAUAAAAGUCAUUGCUUGAUACAAUCUACAAAUUCUCAUUGUUUGCACUUCCUCCAUUGUGAACAGUACCAAAUUCUAAUUAAUUCUGCCCAUGAACUUCAGGUGGCUAAAGAGAGUGCUGAUGUAAUAAUCUUGGAUGAUAAUUUCUCCACAAUUGCGACUGUGGCCAAAUGGGGACGUUCAGUCUACAUAAAUAUUCAAAAAUUUGUACAGUUCCAACUUACGGUUAACGUGGUUGCAUUAAUAGUCAACUUCUCUUCAGCUUGUUUGACAGGUAAGAAGACCCCAUCUUGCUUCUUCCAUUUCAAAGUUACUUCCUUGUUUUGUCAAAUAAACUUCUUCUUUUUUCUCCCUACAUUUUUUUUAUUCCUUUUUUUUUUCAAACACUUAAGGAAAUGCUCCCCUCACGGCUGUUCAGCUUCUGUGGGUCAACAUGAUCAUGGAUACACUGGGAGCUCUUGCAUUAGCAACCGAGCCACCUACUGAUGACUUAAUGAAGAGAGCACCAGUUGGAAGAAGAGGAAAUUUUAUCAGUAAUGUCAUGUGGAGAAAUAUCCUAGGCCAGUCCCUAUAUCAGUUUCUGGUAAUAUGGUAUCUUCAGGUAGAAGGGAAAGCAAUAUUUCAGCUCAAUGGCCCUGAUUCUGAUCUGAUCCUGAAUACACUUAUUUUCAACUCGUUUGUCUUCUGCCAGGUACUUUUGGAAGUCCUCUUUGUAAACUUUGUUUCAAGCAUCUAUGUGAUAAAUGAAUGGUAGAUUAUGAUAGGCAAGUUUAGCUUUUUUUUUCAUUACAGGUUCUGUUUGGUAUUUCAAAUUAUGAUUUAGAAUUUAUCUUAUCACACCCUAUGAGUAAAUUGACUUUGCCCAAAUAAAUUCUCAUUUAAAUGACUAGAGGUUGUGAUGUAGAACAACUCUAGGAUGGUUGCCUACACUCAAAAGUAGGUGGGUUAGGGUUUUAAUUUUAGAGUAUAAGAAGAGGAACAAGGAAUGAAGCUUAUGGUAGAGAAAAAAAAGAUGAAAACCUUAAAGUCUCACUAAGACCUUCAAGGAGUUUCACCUAGAAGAAAAUCAUUGGAGUCUUACCAUUGAGGUUUGCAACAAUUGCAAUGAAAAAAAUAUAAUAUUAUUAACAUCAAUCAAUUCAUCCUUUUGAUUUAUAUCGAUGAGCUUUAUUUAUAGGUUUUUUUAAGAAAUCUAAAGUUCAUUUGGAUUCUAAUAACUUAUUAUGACUCUAAUUCUUAUUAUCUUAUAACCUAACUAGCUAAUCCUAAUUUGACUCAAUAGUAAUCAUAAUUUAAUUCUAAUUAAUAUUAAUUCUAAUUUAAUUCCAACUAAUAUUAAUCCUAAUUUAAUUCCAAAUAAUACUAAUCCUACUUUAAUUGCAACUAAUACAAAUUCCCUUUCUUAAAGGACUGAGUUUUCCAAAUUUAUUAUUAUCCCUUCCUUCCCAUGAGUUGCAAAAGAAACGGAAACAUGUUCUUUCACUGUAAAGCAUGAAAAGAUAAUAUCGGGGCCCCUGGCCCAUUUAUCAUAUUAGGGAUAACAUUUUUAUUUCCAUUGUGUUCAAUACCAGAUAACUCAACAGGCUUAACCUGGGGUAUUUUCUGAAAAAUAUGUUAAUUGGGAUUGACUUUCAGAAAAUUGGAAUUCAUUACAUUUACUAUUUACAACUGAAUAUUCUCACUGGAUCUUCUGCUGAUUUGUUCCACUCCUUCUUAGGUUCUCAGUUCACCCAUCUUCUUGAUCACAUGAGAGGGCUAUUAGAUGAAAGCCUUUCCACUAAUAUGUCUACUAAUUUAUUUUCUAGUUUUCGACUAUUAAACUCUUCUGAGAUGUCCUUUCUUAAUUCGAGAUAUCUCAGUUUGUAACCCUGUUGAGGACAUCUAACUUAUGAAAAGGAUCAUGGCUUAAUUCUGCAGGUUUUCAAUGAGAUAAGCUCCCGAGAAAUGGAGAAAAUCAAUGUAUUCAAAGGCAUACUGGAUAACUAUGUAUUUGCUGCUGUUCUCACUUCCACUGUCCUUUUCCAGAUCAUAAUCAUCGAGUACCUGGGUACAUAUGCAAACACAUCACCUCUCACUCUAUCUCAAUGGUUCCUCAGUGUUUUUAUUGGGUUCCUAGGCAUGCCAAUCGCUGCGGCCUUAAAGAUGAUCCCUGUGGCAAGUCAAUGAGUGAGAGAUGCUGCUUUUUAAAUUUUGUGCCCUUUCCUUGGAACAGGGCUUAUUGCAUGUGGGUUUAGAAAAACCUCAAAAGGUUGACAUGUCAUUUUACAAGUUAUUGUAAGAUUCAACGUUUUCUUUGUUUUUAUUAGCUUUUUGUGGAAACCUAAAGAAGAAUAGGGCCCUCUGCUUGGCUGCAAGAUGUAACUUCAGAUGUAACCAUUUUAUUCUUCAGUAAUGGGAAAUUCUUUUGUUAAGUUUCUUGUAAUUUUAUUCUGAUACCAUUUAUCCUGUUUUGUUGUUUAUGAUUAGUGAAGGAAAUUCUUUUGUUAAGUUUCUGGUAUUUUGUUCUUGUGGUAUUUACUAUUUACUCUUCUUUAUUCUUGUUUAUAACUGCCAGUUCUUAUUAUUUCUAACUUGUGAAUAAUGUCUCAGUAGAUUGCAAUGGUUUUGUUUAGUUAAAUGAUUCCUAAGAAAUGGUCAUGGGCAUGGAAAUUUGUUGAAAAUAUCAGCGGCCAAUUCUAAAAAACAAAAUAUUUAGUGAGACAAAAAUUGAUUAAAGAGAUGAAAAUUCAUUAAAAUUUAUGAAAAAUUGAUUUUUUUUUUAAGAAAUGAUAAAAUAAAUAAUAUUACACAUUAAAUAUAUAUAUUGUUAUGAGAAUUGAUAGAAUUCAUAAAUUUGUAAUAUUGGUCAACAAAAAAUAUGAAUUUUAAAACUAUUCUCAUCAAUACUAAUGUAGGGAUAUAUUUUGAUACCGCCUUUGGUAAAAUUUAAUAUUUAUUGUUUAAUUAUUUAAUGAUUUAAGUUAAUUUUAGAUUAAGUUACAUUUAAAUUAUUAACUUAAAACUUAUUAUUUAAUUCUUAUUUUAAGUAUUAAAAUUAUUUAAUAAAAUUAACUUAAAGCUUAAUUUAAAUUAUUAAAUUAAUAUACUUAUUAUCAUAAAUUAAAAAGUAAAGGAAGUCAAAAUAGUAGUGGAGAUCACGAAAUAUAAAAAAAAAUUAUAAAAGUAAUUAAGAUAAAUGAGAAUAAAAAUAUAAAAUUAAGAAUAAAUUAAUUAUUUUUACUUAUUAUUUAAAGUUAUUUUUAACUUUAAGUCAUACUUUUAAAUUAUUUUACUUAAUACAUUUAAUUUGCUUAAUGAUUUAAUUAAAUCAUUUUAAGUUAUUAAGUUUGCUUAUGAAACACCCACUAAACAUGGCUUUCUAAAAUAUCACCGUUUCUCCAUUCUAGGAAGUGUAAUCCCCCUAACACAUUAUUACAUGCUUUCUGCCUUAUGUUUCACUACCGAAAGUUGUAGACAUUAACUCCAUACUUAUUCUUCCAUCAUAGAGGGUCCCUCGGAUUCACAAGUAUAAUUGAUCCAAAUAGGUUCCAGAAGUGCCCUUGCUUUCUGUAAUUUCUGCUUUCCAUGUUCAUUACCGCUUGGUUCCUCAACUUGUCUCUCAAUUUCAGGAUAGAUGCCUUCCAGAGACGCCAACAUCAUAUCAAGUCCUUGCCACCCUCUAUGUUCAUGUCCCACUAAUUUCACACAGACAAAGUGAAGGAGUCCCAAUAACAACCCGAAGUCCUCUCUUUCCAGUGCAACAGCUGAAGCCGUCAUGAAAAUCUUCCCCACUGCAUCUAAUAUACUGGAGUUUCCUCUCAGCAAUAGAGUCAUCAUUCCUAUAAGUUUCUUAAAGGACGAAAGUUUCCCUGGUUCUGAAACUCUUUCAGCCUCCUCAUUUGGGCUGAUAUUNNNNNNNNNNNNNNNNNNNNNNNNNNNNNNNNNNNNNNNNNNNNNNNNNNNNNNNNNNNNNNNNNNNNNNNNNNNNNNNNNNNNNNNNNNNNNNNNNNNNUUGAUCAAAAACAUGUUGUUAAGUUUGUCAAUUUAUUUCAUGUCUACUUUUGCAAUUUCAAGGCGAGUGAGCUUAAGUUUUAAGUAGAUUCAAAGGGAUUUCCUUUGGGAUGAAGGGAUGCGAGAGAAAAAAUCUUAUUUGGUUAAUUGGUCUACCAUUUGUUUCGACAAAAAGAGGAUGGAGUGUUUGGCAUUAAAAAUCUCCACGCUCUUAACAAGGCUCUCCUUGGUAAAUGGAGUUGGAAAUUCACUUCCAAGAGAGAGCUAUAGUGGAAAUAGGUCAAAUUAAGGAAGUAUGGGAUAGGAGAAGGGGGUAGUGCUUAAGGGAGGUGAGGAACAACUAUGAGGGGUGGGGUUGAUGAGGGCUAUUAGAAAUGAGUGGAAAGUUUUUAGAAAUAUAAAUCUCCUCGUCAAGGGUAAUGGCAAAAAUGUUUUAAAAGGCUAAAGGCGGUUUUGAGGAGUUUUGCCCAAAUGAGGCAAAAUGUAAGCAUUGAAGUGGAACAAGACGUAAGCCUCAAAUUCAAGAAAAAUAAAUAAAUAAUACUGAAAAAGAAGAAGAAAAAAUCUCAAAAAAUUAAAAUUAAAAUUAAAAAAUCACAUGAAAAUUGAACAAUAAGAAAACCAUAAAAUUCAUAAUAAUCAAAUUAAUUGUUUUCUCUUUCCUUCUUUUAUAAUCUAACUCUCUUUCAUGGCUUUAUCAAAAUCUCUUUAACACUAGCAUCACUAUCACUAGUAAGGAUCAUCCAUGGAAUCAUAAUCAUAUCUAAUUGUUGUAUUAUGCUCCAUAUCCAUGUUAAUGCAUAAGCAUUCUUCUUCUUCAUCUAUCAAUUAUACUAGUCUUUCUUCUUCCUAAUCUCUUUAUUCCCUCUCCAUUUAAAGGAUUAAUUGAUAGCCAACCAAGCCUUUACUUUAUAAAUGCUUAAUCAUAGUUUUUUUUUUUUUUUUCUUCUAAGGCAAAAUCGAAUACAUAUUAACAACACUUAAGAAAAGAGCACACCAAAGUAUACACGAUGUAUACAAUAUUUUGGUGUGCAUAUUGAAUAGGCACCGGUAGGCAAGUAAAAAAAAUCAAAAACAAAAAAAAACAAGUUCCUUCUCCUUAAUUGGAUCUAAGUCAAUCAAUAAAUCUUAUCAUAAUCAUUAAAUGAUCAUCUAUGUACACAUUAAGCCUAGUCUUAAACUCAAGAAAAAACUUUAAAAUAUAUACCAAGACCUAACAAAAGCAAAAUUCAUUAAAUUCGUUAAACAUUGAGGCUUGAACAUCUUAUUAUAAAAUACAUAAAAAAAGCCUUAAACCCAUUAAAACCUUUUGAAUAUUUGAGGCUUAAGCCUUAAUAGCCUUCAAGAGUUAUGAAUCUUAAUAGGCUCAAGGCUAAAGCCGCAAUAGCCUUCUCACUUAAUGGCAAGGUAAAAUUCUAGAAAGACAGAUGGUGCAAUGAAUCUUCUUUGGAAAAGCCUUUCUCGGAGUUAUUUUAUAUAACCGUUCAUCACGGAUAGCAUAAAUAUGGGAACCAGUUGUGGAGAGGGGUUGGUGGAGUCCCCGCUUUCACAGGCAAUUCCACGACUAGGAAUUAGGCGGGGAAAUCUUUUUUUAGCAAUUGCAAUCAAUCUCAAUUAGAAGGAAUGAAGAAGACAAAUUAGGUUGGAAAAAAAGCAACAAGGGCCAGUUCACAGUCAAAUCUUUCUAUGCAUCCUUAACCAAAGAAGAAGUGAGCCUUUCCCUGCAAGUAUUGUUUGGAAUUCAUGGGUGCCAACAAAAGUGAAUUUCUUUACUUGGGAAGUUAUUUGGGGAAAAUUUUAACUCUUGAUCAGCUUAUGAGAAGGUGUUAGUUUGUUCCUAACAAAUACAAAAAGUGUAAAGAGGGCGAAGAGUCGAUUGAUCAUUUGCUUCUCCAUUGCUCCAAAGCGAUAACCCUAUGGCAGUUGGUUUUUUCUAUGUUUGGAGUGGCUUGGGUGAUGCACUCUUCCAUUAGAGGCAAUCUUUUGGGAUGAUAUGGUUCUUUUGUGGGGGAAGAAGAGGAAGAGAACUUGAAAGGCUACUCUUUUAUGCCUGUUUUGGACAAUAUGGAGCAAAAGAAAUAGGAAGUCUUUCGAAGGAGUGGAACAGUCGGAUCAAGUGAUCAAGACUUCUGUUGUAUGUCUUCUUGGAUUGGGCUAGGGUAUACAUAGAUGAGCUUUCUAUGUGAAUGUUAGACGUCAAAGGCUAUGGGUUGGUUCCUGGGUACCUAACCUUAAGAACUCAAACUAUGGUCUGAAGGGCUAGCAACUCAUUAGCCCAAAGGAGGUUGCUUUCAAGGUUCAGUGUGAAAGGAAGGGCUUCUACACCCAGUUCAUCAAAAGCAUCAAAUCAGAAAUUGACGCCUAACACUCAGGAUUCCAUCCUGUUCUUUGCUCACUCCCUAAAGUGAGAAUCUCAGUUUGACCUCUUUUCUUUCCAGUUAGACUGCGCUUCAUACUUGAGCAUGCUUUUUAUUGCUCUAUCCAGAAGACGGGAGUCAGUCUUUCCUUGUUAAAUGGCCGGCUCUUUUCAGGCACUUUAUUUAUAGAUAUUUCUUUUUGGUUGCCUAUAAAAAAAAAUCAACUAAACAAUGCCUUACCCUACCCAUUCAACACUAAUACAACCGAUAAGUGAAAGCAUAGAAGGAGUUAUUAAGGUCAAAAUUGACACACUUCAAGAAACAAAAAUUGAAAAAGGAAAUAUACCAUCUGAAUUCUUGUGGAAAGUAAGUGGAAUGAGAUCCUCUUGCUUGAGUGGAGCCCCAGUAACAGGAUGUUUACCAAACUUCCUAAUGUACGGAAUUAUGUUCCUGCACCCAAUCUCAAAACCAAACCAAAUACUCCAUAUUAGUUAUUCAUAAGUCCAGAAAAACCUCUCCUACAGGGCACUCUAAUUAAAACUGAAUGUGACUCUGAUUCAAUUACAUAAUGUCGAAGACGGUGCCAUCUCUGGUGCACACCGGAUCCCCAAACGGCGUAAACGUGACCCUACACCAAAAUCACAAGAAAACAGACAUUAAUACAAACAAUUCGGUAUAUGUAGAUGCAUAAGUGUAGAGAGAGAUGGGAGGGAUGUACGCGCAGCAGUAGAAGGGGAGGCGUUUGAAAGGGACGGAGGCGUUUUUGGAUUUGGCGCCGCCCCAUUCGGUGGCCCACUCCGUUUUGGUUAUGAACAUGCGAUCUUUGCUGUGUUGUUUCUUCCCCAUCUUGAAUUCAGCGAAGAUAGCGAUGACAAUUAGAUAAACUAUGGAUUUUUUAAAUUCAUUCAAAGGAGCUAGGGCUCUGUUCCUCUGGUUGUACGCCGCGCUCGUUGAGAGAGAGAGAGAGAGAGAGAGAGAGAGCGAGAGAGGGUUGGUCCGACACUCGACGGCGGUGCUGCUGAACCAAAACGAUGCGUUUUGACAUAGGGCAAUGUAUUUUAUUUUUAAUGACUUUUGUUGAGAAAACGGCGUCGUUUCGACAUAGUCUCCUUAAAACGGUGCGUUUUGAAUUCCUCUCUGUGCGAAGUGAGGAAGAGAGAGAUUGGCCCGUGGUAGCGGAUGGGUGGUUCGGGGAGUGGUAGUUGCAGUAGCAGCGGAGAGGAAGACGGUGACGCUGAUUGGAAAGCAGCCAUCGACUCAGUUUCCGCCGUCGCCACCACCGCUACCAGCAAUGGUUUCGCUGCUGCCUCCAAAGAUUCAGCCGUAUCCACGGAUGGCACAAACAGCAAUCAGAAAUCCCAAAAUUUGAAGCACUAUCAAAUCAAGGUCAAAUCUCUAUCUCCCUUCGCCAUCACAUUUUCCUGAUUGUUGAUUUACAUUUGCACUCAAAUCUGUUGAUUUGAGAAGCUCGGUAGAAGACCCAAAACAUGGGAUGCUAAAAUUUGAGUAGCAAAACGUCUGUUAUUUUAGAUUUAGAAAAAAUGAAUGAUAAUCUUUAUUUCAUCUGUGUCUGGUGAACCAUGUAACUGAUUUUGGGAACCAGAUGGUCUUUAUAUCUUAAUUAGAGAAGUUAUAGUUUUGGGGUUUGAUCAUUUUCCUAGUGAUUGUGUGAAUAAAUGAAUGAUGAACAAACUCCAUGUCAGGCACAAAAGCUUUUGGAUGACAUCAUAGAAAACACCUUAGUGAUGGUGGAAGAUCUCAUUCAUAUCUCCGAUAACGAAAAGACAAAUGAAGGUGGGAUUCGGUUGUUCAAGCAUGCUCCUCCAGGGAUAGUGUUUGAUCAUAUGGGUAAGUGAAACUCAUCAAACAUUUUUACUACGUUUGGAAACUAGGUUGAUCAAUCUCCUCUUUCUGACCAUUUUGUGAUGUAUUUACACAUUGGUACCAGAAAAAAUUCAACAACCAAGAAAGAGACCAAGAAUCCUUCCAGGGAAUGAGAUUGACGAGAAAUCAAAGAAGGUUUGAUCUUUCAUCAAUGGGCAAUUUACUUGAUUCGUUAUCUAGAUUUGAUGUUGCCUAAUUGCUAUUUGGAUUGGUGUAUUGCACAGUUUAGAGGGCAACUCCGAUCUGUUGCUGUUGAUGGGGUGGAUAUAAUGGCAGCGGCAAGAGAUGCUUGUCAGAAAUCAGUAGCCAGACUUGAAGCUAAAGAUGCGGCAGCAAAAGCAGCAGCCAAAAGGGAGGAAGAAAGGGUUGCAGAACUGAAGAGAACUAGGGGGGAGAGAUGGCUACCCUCAAUUGCCCGAGAAAGGCAGAUCAAGUUGGGGAGAAGUUAACAAAUUCGAGACAUAGAAACCAUGCUACUGCAGUGACAAAAUGUAGAGGUCAUCUGAUGUGGAGCACAUCUAUUGGUCCUUUCUGAUUGUUUAUCUCAUCCAUGUGAUGACCAAUGUUGCAAAUUGUUAGGCUGAAAGACGCUAUCCUUGUGGUAAUUUGAAAUCAGUAAAAGCUAGCCCAAUAUUCAAAAGCCUUUUUGAUCGCCCCUCUUUGAAGUACUGUGUACUAUGCUUAGUGGAUUUACUUUCAUAAUUGCAAGCAGGGUUGCAGUAAAGCAUCCGAAUUCUCAUUUUGUUUCCCAUGUCAAAUGAUGAAUCGUAUGCCCAUUUCGUAUAAUACUCUGAGAGCCGUUUUUUCCUAUAUAUAUAUAUAUAUAAAAGUUUAUCUUGCUCAUGGAAUUCCGUAAUCGGAAAUGAAGGUGUGAGAUAUUGGGCUGCCGACGGGCGUAGCUUAUUUCAAAAUUGUAAGAACUAGAGAUUCCAAAUGAUCCUUUUCUUUCCGUCAAAAGGCGCAGGAGUGGACGCCACCAGAACGGAAAGGCUAAGAAAGGUGCAGGGGCGCGGCGACCAAGAAGCAUUUAGAGGUGGAGCUUUAACUUUGAAGUUUGAAGUGGGUGGUAAAUUUUGAAAUGGUGGGACCAACGAAUAUUAUAGAGGAAGCUACGCGGAAGCAACCGAGUUGCUCUUUAUGUGCAAGUUGUCAUAUGAUGAUUGAGGAUAAGCCAAUUUCGGUCCUGAGAUAGAAGUGAGAAUCAGUUGAACUCACUGAAUUCCUCACUCCCUUGGGGGCACUGGGCAGGAAAAACCCUAUUCUCCUGACAGUAUGCUUUAGAAUCUGAGGCUUUUAUAUUGGGUAUUCAUAUUUUGGUGGGGGAGGCGGUGGACUUGGUGGAAGAUGGCAGUGUUAUUGGCUAUGGUGGUUGAUGCUCUGGGUCUGUGUGUGACCACACUUUGGGAUCUGCAGGAGCGGAGGUUCUCUACCAUUUUUGAGACAGUGAGCUCUGCAGCAAGGUCAGUUACCAUGGCACUUGUGUUUUGUUUCUUGUCCGUCCAUAGACACCGUAUCGGAGACUUUGGUGUGGCCUUCAUUUGAUUUUCAAUCUUAUUGCUUCUCUUCUUAUAAGCUCGAUUGUCAAGUUAUUUGGCAAUCUUUAGCCAGAUUUAGCAUUUGGCGUUGAUGAAGAGUGCCUUCAUUUGAUUACUGUUCAUUGUGCCUUAGCUGAACAGAUUGGAUAUUGUAUCUGAUAUUAUUACUCACAGCGGUUGAAUUCAGAUGUCUUGUGGUGUGGCUACUUUCAUCCAGUUUUAGAAGGAAAUGUAUUACGGCCUUCAACAGUGUAGCUCUUUUCCAUUGACCUCAGUAAGAGGUGAAGUCUAAGCCCCAGAAAUAUCUGAAAACUGGAACCUGAUUUUACCACUGAAAGCUUUUUGUUAUUGUACCCUAAUGANNNNNNNNNNNNNNNNNNNNNNNNNNNNNNNNNNNNNNNNNNNNNNNNNNNNNNNNNNNNNNNNNNNNNNNNNNNNNNNNNNNNNNNNNNNNNNNNNNNNGAAAGGCUUUUUGUUAUUGUACCCUAAUGAAUCUGAUAUUUGAGCAAAAUUUAAAGAGGAUAAACUGGUGGUAUUUGACAGGGUCUCAUGUAGAGGAUCCCUAGAUUCCUUGUCUAUCACAAAAUAGCCUUUUUACAUGAUGUUCUUUCGGUUUAAUCUUGGUUUCUUUUUAUUUCCUUGAAAAAAAAAAGAAAGAAAAGAUAAGAGGCAGAACUAAAACCUGGCGCGGAGAUCUGACCUCCACAUUCUUGCCGGCAACUGCUCAUCCUCAUUCUUACAAUUGACCGGCCCCAUCUCUUAUGGACUCUCGUCAUGUGACUUUCACCUAUUAGACAAACAAGUGAGCCUACAUACAGCGACAUAUCAUCUUGAAGCAAAUGAAAAAAUACAGCAACAGCUUAUAACUAUUUUAACCUUAAAUGUCAGUCUCAACUCAAUUUAACUUUUCGGAUAAUGUGUUUUUGAAGAAUGGCUCUAUGUGAAAUCCUGGAGAUGUUGGAAGCAUCUUCAACCAUUCACAGUUCUCAAUGUAUAAGAUGCACCAGGCAAAUAAGAUGCACCAGGCAAAUAAGAUUCACAGUUCUGAAUGUGAAGUCCUGGAGAUGUUGGAACCAUCUUCAACCAUUCUCAGUUCUGAAUGUAUAAGAUGCACCAGGCAAAUAAGUUAAAGUUGCCUGACCACGUUAGUGCAGACAAAUCAUAACAUGGCAGUUCAAAAUCGUAAAAUAGGCUCACUUGCCUCUCUACAAGUGCAAGAGUUAUGUCUUUAAGCAUUCUGCAUAAAUUUGAGAAAUCUUAUUACACGACCAAAAACUAAUUACUAAAAUCAAAUCAUAAACCAAUAGUUUAUUGCUAAAAUUCAAAUCAUACACAUUUGUUAUCACUGAACUCCCCUAUUUUUAUGUGGACCAACUAAUGAAAGCCAUAGUACAUGAGACAACAUUCAAAACAUCUAACAAUGAACAGUGACAUUAAAUGCUGAAGCAUUGACAUUAAUUUCAACUCCAAAACCAGGAAACGAGUGCUUAAUGGAGUAAAUUUCCAUUCUUGCAACAUAUCAUUUGACAGGGCAGAAGAAGCUUUGACAGUUAGGAAUCCUGAUAUUUCUCCCCAAAUUAAGCCUUCAAGUAACCUUUCUCUUCCAAGUAAGAUAUUACUGUUUUAGCCAUAUCACUAGGGGAAUUAUAGUCUCCUCCAGUCUGUUGCAAUACUACCUACAAAAUAAAGUCUGUUUUUACAUUUUUUUUUUAUUAAAAUGAAUAUCACGGAAUAAAAAAAUUUCAUGAGCUACAAAAUACAACCAUCAAGAAAUAUAUAUCUACAGUAAAACUUGGUAUCCUCAGUCUAAUAGGAGUUUCAAAGUUAUUUGACUAAAGGAAUAAAAGAUGAUCGAUGGAAACUAGAAAAACCCCAUUCUACACAAUUUCAUAUUAAUUAUUAGCAAAUUUUUUACCAGGGAAAUUCCUAUUUCUUUCACCACAUGAUCGACCAUUUAGUCAGAAUAUUGCCAUGGACUUAGGCCUUUCCUAAACUCAUAUGCAGCAUUUAAACACCUCAAGUCACUUGAUGUUACUAAAUCAGUCUUUCCCUCAUCUUAGCUAGUCAUGUUAAGCAACACUACUCGACUUGGUAGAUAUGAUGCACAAUGAAGCUACAAAGCUAUAUAUAAGAGUUAUUUGAAACUCUCUGCAAAGCCUCACACACUUCCCUUGUCUUUCAUCCUUGUGUAGAGAUGUGUAGACAUCUCCAAACUUCUCCAAAAUGUUCCAUACUCCUCCACUAGUUAUGUACAAGUGUGGAUUACUCUAUAAGGCUCCAAAAGCUUCCUACUUUCAUAUAUAAACUCAAUGGAUGAUCAUUUAAGCAAAUUGUGACAAUAUGCUUAAAAUUUCUUUUAAACCAGAUUCUUCUAACUUGUUCAUGUUAUUAAAAGCAUAACUAGAUAUCUUUUAGUGCAUGUUCAUGAUUUUGUAAGUUCAAGAAUGUUAAGUAUAUCUAGAUUUUCUCUAAGGAUAUAAAAGAAAUACCUCACAAUUCAAUGGUGGCUCAUAUGGAUCAUCAAUCCCUGUAAAACCUGAAAAAAUCCAAAGUAAACAAGCAUUUAACCAUCUAUUCUUUACUGUGACAACUACCCAAGUGGAGGUGGAUACAAGCAGUAGCAACAUGAUAGAUCCAUCCACUAUAGAAAUAUAAGCAUUAUUACAAACAAGGUCAAUCAGGCUUUGAUAUUAGCAAAAAGGAAAAAUCAAAAAAGGAAAGAAAAUGAUAAGUUCAUUUUUUUUUUCCUGGAACCAACUUUAGGUAUUUGGUAGCCUUGCAAUUUGACCCUAAGUAAUUAUUCAGGAGUGCAAGCAAGACAUAUAAAUUUAUGAACCACGGUACUCUUAGUGUGAUAAACCUUUUUCAAUUUGCAGUUGAUGAUGACAAUCAUGUUAAAGCCAAGCGAACAAGGUUGUCCCCGGAAUUUCCAAAUGAUAGACCCUUGAUUAUAUAUCAUCAACCAGACCAAAAUAUCGACCAAAAUAUCCAAUAAAACAGGAAAGAAAAGCAAUGAUUAUUCAGAAUCCCAAUUUUCUAUUUACGGACUCCUAAAAAGGAUACCUCUUAUUUUUCCAGCUCGUGCAAGCUUGUAUAGACCCUUCGGGUCCCUUUCCUCACAAACCUCUAGGGGGAUAUCCAUGAACACCUAUGAAAGGUAAAACCUGUCAGCUUAUUACUAGAAAUUGGGAACCUUACUCUAAUUUCGAGGUUCAACUCAUUGUUAGUGGUAGUGAUGAACCUUUCUACUCAUGGUCCAAACUGUAAUGAGCACAUACCUCAAUAAAAUUUCCUUCAGACAACAUUGCACGGCAAGCAUCUCGAUCCUUUCUGUAUGGAGAUAUCAAACUAGCAAUGCAAAUAAUACCCGAGUCCGAAAAUAGCUUUGCUACCUCCCCUAAUAAUCACAGAGGUGUGGAAUUUAAUUGACUUUCAAAAGAAAAAGAAAAAUGAAAAGACCAAAACAAUAAUCACCAAUCCUUCGUAUGUUUUCAGCACGAUCUUCUGCUCUAAAACUAAGAUCACGGUUUAGGCCAUGUCGAACAUUAUCUCCAUCAAGGACGUAAGUUAGGUUUCCCCUGAAGUGCAAGGCUCGACUCAAGGCACAAGCCAAAGUGCUUUUUCCUAAAAAUUAGAUCCCCAUGGUUUAAGUAAAAAAGAGAGAUUAUUAAGAGAGACAAAAGAAAUAGUAGUAGUAAAAGGAGUAAGUUACUCUAGCUAAAACUUACUAGAAUUUAAUGGUAAUAGUAGUCGUAAUAUUCCAUUUAAUCUUUGUAUCAGACCAAUUUGGCUGACCAAUUUGGACUUGGGACCUAAAUUUAUAGGACUCUUUCGUAUUUUCAUAAGCACAAUGAUAAAAAGAAAUGAAGCCGCCAUGCAUACUCUACUAAUAAAAUGAGAUGGUGGGGAUUCUUUCAUAAUAGUUGUAAUCAAAGUAACUAUAUCAGUUAUAAAUAACCCUGCAUGUGCCAUGGCCAUGGUCUGUAUCUUCUGCAACUAGUCUGAAGCCUAAAGAAAGUGAGAUUGUGUUAGGUAGACAGGUUGCUGAAAACCUUUCGGUAAAGUCACAAAUAUGGAUCCUGAGAAUUAGAAACCACAAUAUUUGGCCAUGAGAAUAUGUAAUUAUACGGGAGAUAUCUGCUAGUUCUUCCAUUCAUAUAAAUAUGCUAGCUUUAAUUUUUCUAUUAACAAAGCAUUGAAUUUAGGGCACGAGUUUUUAGUGCUCCUUCAUAAUUUCACCUAAUACCUCUCGUGAUCUCCCCUUCUGUUUCCCAUGUGCUUUCACUAGAAAUCCGGCCAUCUGGGAGAUCAAAGCGGCGUUCUUCCGCAUGGAAAGCAUAUAUCACAGAAGCCCAAAGCCAAGUAACAAUAAAACCAGAAAUCGCAGGUAAACAGUCAACAUUAACAAACCUGAACCACUGAGGCCAGUAAUCCAUAUGACACAUCCUUUCUGCUGAAGUAGUCGUUGCCUCUCGAGUUUAUCUACAGAGCAUUCGUGCCACACAAUGUUUGUCGACAUACCAUUCUUACCUGGUUAUAUCAAUCAAUAGAAAUUAGAACCUAAACAGAUCCAAGUAAUACCGAAUUCCAUGCUCAGAUGAAAAUAACAACAUUAGUAUUCGUGCGCAAAUAUUCAAUGAGCUCCGUACCAAGAAAAGCAUCUAAUAAUCUCCACAAAAUCAAUUUCCCCAAGAACUUCAACAACUUCCGAUCGAUCAUCAAGAAUCAGACAAAUCUUACAUCAAGUUUGAUGCUCAAAGUAACAUAGCACAAUCAAACAAAGAAAGUGAGCAAGUGAGAAUACCUCCAGCACCAUCAGCUUGGCCACUGACAAACGCCUUCACCGCCUUAAUCGGCGUCACGUGCCUCGAUCUCGCCUUCACUGCAUCAAACCGAACCGCAUUCCACCUCACAAACUUGGCGCUCGGCGACGACAGGGAAUCCGAAAAUCCAAGUUUAGAAUCCGAGAACGAACAGAACCUCCACGGGGCCGCGCCAAUCACAGCCAUCUUUCCGAGUCAAUAGGAGAAAGAAAGAAAGAACGAAACUCAAAGCGGAAUAUGUAAAAAAAGAUGCUCUAAGAUAUAGCAGCCCAUUUAUAGCGGGUAAUGGCAAAGCGGACUGAGAUUUUUUGCGAUAACGGUUUUCGGUUAUAAAAUUGGAGCUGCUGAAACCGACGGAACGCUUCUACAACGGGAUUGAAGAAGAACGGUGGGUGGCAAAUUCGAUUUCUCAUCUCUCCUCCAUCCUUAAUUCCAAUUUCGCUUCCACGAAAAGUUUCCACUGAAUUCAAGGAGGCAUUCCGGAGGUUACAACAUGGCGAACUAUUUUUGAAUGAGACCUUGCCUCAAUGACUACCACGCGUUUUGUGGAGCGUGAUGCUAAACGCCUGUUUGGUUGAGCAUAUCAAUCAGUAUUAUUGAAAAAUAUUGAAAAAUCAGUAUUAUUACAAAUGAAAGAGUAUAAUUACAAUAUCAAAAUGUAUUUUUUAAAUACCUAUUAAAAAGAUAUUACCAACCACAUCAUUUCUGAACAAAUUCCUCCACCCCUAAAAUGUCUUUUAACAUAUUUCUUAUUACAAAUUCUAAUACAAAUGAAUAAUGAUAUAAAAAUAUAAAAAUAAUAUUAAGGUAUAAAAAAUGAGUUUUAGUUUUUAUAGACAAAGAAAUUAAUUUAAAUAUAAAAUAAUAAAACUAUUUAUACUAUAUAAACUAAUGAGACUUAUUUGGUUAUAUAAUAAUUUUUUAGUUUCUUUUAAAGCAAGAGAGUCAUAUUUGUCUAUCAAUCCCCUAAGUUUAAAAGGAAUUUUUAGUUUUCUUUAAAUAUGUUACAAAAUUACCCUUAUAAUUUACCCAACCCCAUAAAAGGAGAGAAAAAAUAUCCUAUUUGUUAAAAAAUAUAUAUGUAUUAAUUUGGCUUAAAGUUAAAAAUUAAAAAAUGGGAAUUUAAAAAAUAUUAGGAAUUAUUAUCUAUUCAAGAUUCUUAUGUCAUUAAGGAGUGCUUCUUUAUAAAACUAACAUUUCACUUUUUUUCAAUAAAAAAAAAAUCCAUUUUGGACAAAAAUAUCCUCAACUUUUUCUUACAAAAAUAACCUUUUACUUUAAAACACAUGUUAAUAAAUAAUAAUAGAAAUAUUGAAGAGUAUUUAUGUCAAAAUUGAGUUAUACUUCAAAUUCAAAAACAUAAGAAAUUAGUUUUAUAAAUUUGAGAUCUUUUCAUCCAUUUUAAUCAAUUAAUCCUAAAAAAUUAAAAAAUACAUUAAAAGGAAAUUUUUUCCAAGAUAACACUCCCAAUUUUAAGACAAAUCCCAUAUGGAAUUCCUUAAAUAUGAUAAUCACAGACAUUAUAAGUUCGAAUGUCAAAAUGAAAUUAUAAAACAAAAGAGCAGAUAAAUAAAAUAUUAUUUUAAUCAAAAUUAUUGCAUGGGUUCCUACACGGACUGUUUAAGUUUGAUUAGCUUAUUAUAUUUAUAACUACGGACCUAUUGUUAUAUCGAUUAAUGAGUUGGAUGAAAUAAAAUAUUAUUCUAAUAAAAGUUAUUGACAACACAAAUAAUUGCACGGGUUCCAACGCGAUGUUCAUGAUGAGCUGGCAGGUAAGUGUUACAAAAUUAUAAAAGUUAAGUUAGGUGGAUAUGUUAGAAAAGUUAGAAUAUAGUAAGAAUCUACUAACUUAAUAUAUUAUAUAAUUAAAAAAUUUUAAAAAUAUUUAUUAAGUGUCACUUUAAUUUCUGAUAUGACACACGUGGUUGCCACUUGUAUAUGGAAGGAUGAUAAUACCUAAUUUUUUAGGGUAGGUGAGUUGAAAACAGAUGAAGGUGAAAUUAUAGUGAAAGCUGACAUGGCGCCCGCUAAUCAGUAAUUUAUUCCUUUUUUUCUUUUUUUUCUGUUUUAGUAAUUUUAUGAAAGAAAAAAAAAACUUGUAACUUAAAUAAUAAUUGAAUAUAAAUAUAAAAAAUAUAUAUUUUAAAUAUCUUAUUUUAAUUUAGGUACAAAAAUUAUUUUAUGUUUAAUAAAAUUCUAUAAUAUUAAAUAUUUAAAAAAAAUUGACUGCAACUCCGAUUUAACAUGAGUUAAUAGUAAACAUAAAAUAUUAUUUUAAAAUGGCUUUUAUUUAUCAAAACUUUGAAUUUUUAUUUUUUUAUUUUUAUAUUUACUCUAUUUCUUGAUGUUUUGACAUUGUACUUUUACAUUUGAUAACUUUUUUUUGAAGACUUCGUUGGGAUGACAAAAAUUUUAAAGAAAAGGAAAUAGUAAGAAAACAAAGAAAAUUAAAGAAAAAUUAAUGAUUAUUUUAAUCUCAAUAACUUUUAGUUUUUAUCUUUAUCUUCUUGAAUUUAAUGGGGGUAAGAAAUACUGAAAAUCUAACUCAAUCCAAAUAUGAUUCAUUUAAUAUUUAAUAAAUGAAUUGAGUUGAUUGACAUUGAUAUUGUUUAAUUAUGUGGACAAUUUUGUUUUAUUCAUUGUAGUUUUGGAAUUUACAUAUUUUCAUCUAAUUUACACUAUCUACAAAGACUCAAGGUUGCACCAAAAUUAACUUGGGAUUAUAUGAAUAAGUGUGACUGAAUUAAUUGAAAAUAAUGACUUAAAAGGUAUAGAGUAGACUUAUACAAAAAUAAAAAAUAAAUUAAUAUAGAAGAUAAUUUUAAUUAAAAAUCUAUAUAAAGGAAAAAAAUAGGGUAACUAGAGUUGAAAAAUGAAAAAUUAUAUCAGAGUGCUUAAAUGGUCUUAAAUGGAGCUCCAAUACUUAAUAGUAGAUGUUAGUCCAAGGUUUCUCCUAAUUAAGUGUUGAUAAUUACAAAAUAAAGGUUAGACUUGCAAAUAAUUCAAAUCAAGUAAAGUUCUAAGUUUCAUUGAUGACUUCUUAAAGUAUACCUUGAAGGGAUUCAAAAGACAAGAAGAGAAGACGGAAAGAGAUGGAUUUGUGAAAAUUCAUAAGGUAUAGGAACUUUUGUAAAAUAAAUCUUUUGAGUGCAUUUAGGAUUAAAUUAUUUUUCAAGCACUUGCAACACAUUCAUUUAUGGUUAGUUUUUCUUAAAAAAGAAGCUUAAAUGUUUAAAAUUAAAUGGAUAUGCUUUUCAUAUUGAAACCUUAGUUUAAAUCUUUCAAAAAUACCCUACAAAAACAUUUUUGCUUAAGUUAUUGGAAAGUUAAGACUAAAAAAAAACAUUUUUGCGUUGUUUUAAGCUCAAUCAAUCAAGGAAACCCUAAACGAAUCGAAUCAAUUAGGAAUUAAUUAAAUAGGUUAAGUUUUCCAAGUCAAGAACCGAACAAGUAUGUUUAAAAUAUUUUCUCUCUUCCAAAACCUUAGUGCUACUAGUAGAGCUUCUAGCUUUCUUGGUCAAGGGUCGAUCGAACCUUAAAAAGGACAAAUGAUCACCUAUUAUAUAUUAAAUGCUCUAAUGACUAGUUAAUCAUUCCCAUCAAAACUCAACUGGUCCAAACAUAUUUUUGCAAUUUCAAGUGUCUUAAGGUUGUUUUCUCUUAACCUCAAACAUAUAAAUUGGAGAGCUUAUAUGUAUUUAUUGAGUAAAUGACACUUAUAUUAGCAUGUUUACCUACCAUUUUCUCUCAUGCAAAACUCUCAAUUCAAGUGUAUUUAUUCUUUCACUUGCAAAUCCAUUUAAUGCACUGUCUUAUUUUAUCCUAGUUUUUUCUUAUAUUGAACUGAACUUGUGCUAGGAUUCAGAGUUGUAAGACUUCAUUUAUCAAUCAAAUAUUAAGUGGUCAAAACUUCAAGUUAUUAUUGAACUUGAAAGGGGUGUAGUGUUCAUUGGAGUCAUGAAUUCAAGCAUACAAAAGUGAAAGUGUGGUUUAAAGUCUUAGCUAGUGGAACCCUCACUCGAAAAGAAGAUUGAGAAGAGUGGACGUAGGGGGACAUUUGCAUCUCUCUUCCCAUUACUAUUUACUUAUUUACUUCAACUAUUGUUUAAUUUGAAUAGUUUUUUAUAAGUUUUCAAUGGCUCAAUUUGCCCCUUUUUCUUUGAUGUUUUCUUUAAUUAGUCUUGCUUUAUAAUGGAUUUACCCAAAGUUACUAGAUUCUAAAGUUCUUCUAGUUUUCUUAACUCUCUUUUUUGACAAAAUAAGGUUUUUAAAUCAUGUCUAAGACCAUUAGGUUUUAUCAUGUAUAUAUAUGUCUUAUAUGAUACAAUUUCACAUGGAUGCGCCUAAGCUUUAGGUCAUCACUCACUUGACCCAACAGUCUUACAAAGAAAAAUCAAAAUUCGUUGAGUUUAUGGUAGCAAGAUUGCAUCUCCUUGAGUUAUUGAGGAAUCCAAUAAAGAGCACCUAAGGUAAAAUUGUGUACUUAUUUCUUCAUAUUAAAUGGAUUUAACUUUGCAGUUGGCUAACCUUAUGAUUUUUACAUUUACAAAGUCUCUAAAAGGUUUUGUGAGUGGUUUUCGUAUAAAUAUUAUGUCUUUUGUGGGAUUGAAUAUUCUUUACUUUUAUUGAUUAAUUAUAUCCUAGCAAUAGAACUUGAAAUUUUUGACAUAUAUUAAAGGACUAACUAUUCACCACCCUUUUAGGUAGUUCCACCAUGUAAGAUUUUAGAUUGUCAUACACAAAUAAUUAGUUAGCAUUACUUGAAUUUAUUAAUAUGAUUAUAACACACGUUUAACCUCUUUAAGAUUUUUAAAUUUAUAAAAAUACUAUUUUUAAGAUAUUUUUUAGUGGUUUUUAACUUUUAUUUUCGUAUGAAUGGACUUUUUCUAUUUUUUGUUUUUAAAAAUAAAAACUAAUAGUAAUUUUUAUUUUUUAUGUAAAUAAAUAAAUAAAAAUAGUAGUAAUUUCUAUAUAAGAAAUGGUAAGUUUAUAUAUAAAAAAUAUGAACUUAUCCAUAUACUUAAAAAUCACUUUUAAAAUUUUUAAAAUUUGAGGUAAUAAAUUUUUUAAUACCUUUAUUUUUUAAAACAAUUUUAAGGUAAGCUUGAAAGAAUUCUUUCUUUACUUUAAUUUUAUGUUUUAAAAAACACAAAAGAAAAAAAAAGUCCAUUGACCUCUUAAUUAUUUAAUUUUCAAUUAUAAUAUAUUUCUAACAUAGAAAAUAAAUUAGUUUACACUUGCUUAUAAUUUUAUUUAAUAUUUUAAACAUAAAAUAUUUCUAAUAUUUUAUAUUAAUGAAAUAUAUAAAAUUUUACUCUAAUUAGUAGUCUAAUUUUUUAAAUAUAUAAUAUUUAUAAUUAUAAAUAUUUAAUUUAUAUUUAUAUUUAUAUAAUGAAUAAAUUUAUAUGAAUUAAAUGAACUUUUAGCAAAUCAUGUUCACUUGAUUAAAUAAAUUGAUUAAAUAAGUUAGGUAGAUUGGGCAAUUAAACUUAUACACAAUCUAUUUAUUAAACCGAUUAUAUGCAUUAACAUUAUUAUGAUACAAAUACGAUUAUAUCUAAUUCAAAUACAAUAAAAUUUAAGGGGAAUUAUAUAAAUAUGCAUUAUUUAUAAAAUAUGAAUGAAAAGGAAACUCAAAAAAGUCAUUUUCAUGGGGAGUAUAUUUUGGGGAAAAUAAUUUUUAAUUAUUUCAUGCAUCGGAAUAGUGUUUACUUCACAUUACUUGAAAAUGUCUUUAUAUAUAUAUAUAUAUAUAUAUAUAUAUAUAUAUAUGAAUUGUCCCUCAUUACCGGUCUAACUCACGUGAAGAUAAUAAAUUAUUCAACCAACAAAUGUAUUUUAAACUCAAAAUAAUGUUACUUUAAAACUAAAAUACAUAAAAGGGCAUUUUCGAAUAAUAUAAGGUAGACAUUAUUCAAGAACGUGAAGUGAGAAUUAUUUUUCCCUAAAUGCAUUCUCCAUUAAAAUUAAUUUUUAAGGUAUUCUUUUUAUUCAUAUUUUAUAAAUUGGGCAUAUUAACAUAAUUUGCCUAAUUAAUGAGAUUUUCAAAUCAAAUAUGUUAAAAUUAAUAUUGUUUUCAAAAUAAUUUGUCACGGGUGACAAAAUUAUCAUCACGCCUGUUGUAAUCUCAAUUCAGCCUCCACCAAUUUGGAGAAUUUAGGCGGGUUCAAGUCAACUUCAUGUUGUAGCGAUUAAUUAAAACUUUAUUCUAGAUUUAUGCGAAAAUUGAGAUGAUAAAUGACAGACACAUUAUUAACAAGAAAUAGAAAAUGUCUUUGCCUAUCUUUGUAAAAAUGGUGCAUGAUAUCAUUAGAAUCUGACACUAUUUUUUUAAAAAACUGAAAAAUAAAAAAUAAAAAAUGUUCCAUAUAAUAGUAUAAGUACAAAAAUUAUAAAAAUUGUUAUGUCAUAUUGAACUCUGGGUCCUUUAAUGUCUGCAUUAGUUAUUAAGGGCUUCUAGGGUUUCGAGGGUUAGAGCUCUGGAGAAAGAAUGAACACGAACAAGGGAGGGAGAGCUAUUUGGGGCUUUUUGGAUUUAGGAAUUUACAAAUCUAUCUUUAAUUAGUCAAUUAACAUGUACAACAUGAGACAUUUUCAUCCAUUGAAACUAAUAUUGAGCAAUGAAAAAGGCAAAGUGAUGAUAUUUAAGAAGCUCGAGUGCAUCAUGUUCGAUUUUAAACAUGAGUAACCAAAACACCAAUAGGUUUUGAGAGUAAAGUGUAUUAAACCCAAAAUUUUUAUACAAACUUUUUCUAAAGUCAUUAUCAAGCACACUUUAAUUAUGAUUAGUCAAAGUUUCAAGGGUAAAUGAAGUUAACUCUUUUUUUUUUUCCUUAAUGCAUGCCUAAUGGCUAUCAACCUUCAUCUUCUAUUCAAAUUUCAAAUUAUUCAUCAACUCAAUUUCAUAUCUGGUUAGCAGACAAUGCCUUUUUUGCUAUGGGGUUGGUAAGCCUAUGAGAGCAGUGAGAGAACAAUAUAUAAGAUCAACUUAUCACACCUACAUAUAGAAAAUCUGUGUUUUACACAAAGGAGCUGCUCCUCCUGUGAGAAGGUGGACUCUCUUUCAUAACAAUUACUUGUUCGUUUCCAACUUCUUCAUCAUCUCCUGCUUCAUCUCCAUCCAUCCCGCUUGAUGUUUUACCAUCAAUGUUGUUGCCUUUUGAUGCAGAAGUAUUAGUAGAUACCCGAAAUGCGCUUUUUAAUCCCUUCAUCAGCCUUGCGCGGAGAUUCUUCUUAGUUCUUGGAGUUGGAGUUUCAUUGAAGAUCCCUUCCGAGAGAGGAGACAGUACUCCAUCCACCGUGGUCUCCCCUUUGAGUCUAAACCUGAAGCUUGCAGAAGAAAUGGAUCCCCUUUCCCCUCUUUCUAUCUUAUUGGUUGAGCUCAAACGGAAACUCGCGGACCGGACCGAGCCCAAUGCAUUCGCCUGCUUCUCAGACUCUUCCAGAGUCUUCUUCAUGGCCGUGAGAUCUUCCUCCAAGCUUUUGAUUCUUGUGACUGUGGCCCCCAUUAUGUCUUUGAGUUGGCCAACCUGGCGAAGGGCUGCAUCUCGCUGCAGGAUUCCACCGAGGGUGAUGGAGCCACGGUCGCCUCUGACGUGAUGCCGGGGAUGAGGUAGCGGUGGCGGUUGCUGUUGGGCGGUGGUGGAGAAAAUGGAGCGGGUGUUGAACUGCUCCACCAACAUGGCUCGGAUUAUAAAUCUCAAUGGCAUUCUAGGGUUCUGCACUACAUGCAUGAGGAGCUCAGGUGACAGCUUGUUGCAGUUUACUGCAUUGCAAAUUCGAUUUUUCUGUUCCUCGCUCAUCUUCUCAUUGUGCUCCUGUGAAUAAAUUUAAACAAGAAGCAAGAGAAAAACACUCAGGAAAAUAAGCCAAUGAUUUUUCCAGGAAUUGCCAAAGAAAAAAAUACUAAAAAAAAUUAUUUUAGAAAAUACGGAAAAAAAAUAAAAUUAACCAAAAUUUUCUAUAUUUUAAAAUUAUUUCAUUUUUAUUUGUAUAUAUUAAAAGAAAUUAAAUUAAAUUAAAUAUAUAAAAAAUAACUUAUUAAUUUUAAAUCUUUUUUUUUUCUUAUUUAAAAAAUUAAAAAUAUUUUAUAAAUUGGCUUAAUUACCUUAACAUAGAGAUCGACAAUUUUAUACAGGAUGUCGUGACUCCGAGUUAACCGACAAUGCAUUGAAUCGGCAACUACUUGAAAAUCCUCGAUUCCCACCGUCUUAACGUCGUCAACAGAGCUCAGGAAGGCAUCCCCGUUUUCCAUCGAACUCAGCGUCUCAAUACAUCUACUGACAAGUAACGCCGUUUCUUCUGCUUCUGGAAGCAGUUGCAGGCACGAUCGGAAAAUUAUCGACGCGUACUCUCGGUUCACAGCCACCGCACUACAGAAGUAAGUUUCCGCUAACUGCUGUAAGUUCUCGACACCGUCUUCGUUCGUCUCCGCCAUCUCCAGCAGCGACGCCGCCGUUCUCAGAGCCCCGACGUUGAAAGGCGUUAUCACCGGGUUGCUGCCGUAACAGAAGUCGAUUACGAGAGUGAACGUUUCUGCCGUUAUGUUUAACGGCGGGGACAGGGUUAAUUCGGCGACGCCCAUUAGCUCCCGUUUCAGGUAAGCGCUUCCUGACGCGAGGGGAUCCUAAAAAAAGGGAAAUAUAAUAAAUGCCCCUGUUUAAUUCAUUAAUUGCGGAAAAGCACCGCUCAUGUUUUACAAAAAUGGGGCCUUUAAUUCAGAGAAAUUAAUUAAAUUGUCACUCUAAAUAUAGAUAGAUUUCAUUUUGGUUAUAGUCAACAUGUUGUUAUUUUAACGUGUGUUUAUUUUUUAAUAAUAUUUCUUUUUAUUACACAAUAGUUCACUAUAAUUGUACUUUUACCCAAGAUUAUCUUUUGAAAAAAUUAUUAUAAAAAUUCUAAUUUUAGUUAAAGUUUAAAGCCAAAAAAAAAAAGAGAGAAGCAAAAAGCAGAAGAUGUAUUGUUUUUAUUAUAUUAUUUUAAUUAAAAAUAGAAAAUAGAAACCCAGUUGGCAGCUUCUACCAUCCACCCAAGAAAUAGUAUAAAAUAAGAGAAAUUCAUGGAAGCAAUUAAGGUAAAUAAAAAAAAUAAAAAUAAACAAAGAAAUUGUAGAUCAAAGACCCAGGAAUGAAUUAAAGAAAAAUACCUUGUGCAGUUGGAAACAUAAACCCUGAACAUGUAUCAAGACAUCAGUUUCACACCCUGUGGCCAGUGCCCUGAUAUGAAAAUGAACAAAUUCAAAAGGAAAAAAAGAAAAAGAAAAAAACAAGAGAGAUAGAGAGAGAAGAUUUGAACAUUAGAGCAAGUCAGGAAAAUUAUUUUUGAAAAAAGGGGAAGGAAAAAGGAAGAAAAUUUACCAUGCCUCCACUCUGGCAUGGAGAGGUGUAGGAGGAGAGGAUAUUGAGAGAGAGAGCGAAGGGGUGGAGGUGGAAGAAUCUUCAUGUUCUUCCUCAUAGAUGGUCUCCACCAACCCUAAAUGCCUCCAAGCUUUCAUGGCCUCUCUUCUCCUUCUUCUUCGUCUUCUUCCCUAAGACAACUCACAGUCUUCAAACCUUUUUCACUGCUGCUGUUAUUGCCAAUUAGGGUUUCUGGAUGGGUGAGAAAUUCCCUAUUCAGCUAUAAAUAUUUAGGGCAUUAAUUGCCACCAUGUGAAAUCAUAAAUGCUACCCAUUACUCCUCUUUCUCAAGUAUUUUCCAUAAUCUAAAUCCUUUACGGAUUCCUACCAAAAUUCUCUUGGAUACUGCUCCACUCCUUUUCUCCACCAUCUCAUUAAUUAUUUUCCACAAUCCCAUCUACUUAAUUUCAAUAAAUUAAAAAAAAAAAUACCAAUUACUUCCUUAUAUAUAUUGACUCCAUUUUCUAUAGCCUCUCCAUUACUCCCCUCACUUAACACUUUUCCUAAAGAGUUUGACCUACUCAUAAAAAUUUUUGGUAAUAUAAUUCAAACCAGUAACUGAAAGGGUAAUGACAUAUUCAUGAGUUUUUUGUUUUUUUUUUUCUUUUUUUUUUUUUCUAUUUAUGUAGGAUGUAUUUUUGCAGAGAUGGUUCAUAGUAGUCAAUUGCUGGCUUUGAAAGUGAUUACCCAUGUCUUCCAAUCUUUACUAAAGAAUCUAGCUUCAGUGGAAAAAAUAUAUCAAUAGUCAGAUUUUCUGUUUAAUAUACAGAUGCUAUGUCAAUUUUGUUUAUUAUUUUUUAAAAUGUCAGUUUAUUACAAGCUUAAAAUCAGCAUGGAUUCAUUUGAUUCCUUUUCUAAAUGAGCUACUAAAAUAGAACCUAUGAUUGCUACUGUGAGCUUCACUCAAUCUAUCGGAUCAUAUAGAUAUCCCUUCAACACAAUAUAGGUCAUCGAAAGGGUCUCAGAAACCCACCAAAGUACAAAUGUUUGGAUCUUUUAAAAAAAUAGAUUCUUACUCAAAGAGUGCAUAACUACAUGGAUAAGUUUGACAGGGAUCCACUUCGGGAUUUUCCUUGGGAGGUAUCAGGAAGGAAUUUGAAAUGUAAUAAUUUUAAUUCAUACAAAUAUAGAAGAAAAUAUUAUCUAUUAAUUCAAAUAUUGUACCUUUUAAUCAUGUAGAUAUUGUCCAUUUUGAACCCAAGAGACCUCAGAACCAUAAAACACAUUUACGUGAUUAAAAGAAGUUCAUACUUAUAUAAUAUGAGAAAAUUUUUCCUUCAUCUAAUGUGGAACAUCAUAUAAAUAAUAAAAGGUAUUUAUUUAUAAAAAGUGAUAACUCCUUGUACUUUAUAAAUUGUUCUAACAUUUAGAUCUAUGAAUAGUUCUAAUAGUUUGGUAUAAAUAGUUAUGUGGGUUAUGAUUAUAAUGGUUUAAAAUUGUAAUCAUGUCUAACAUAACAAAAACCGAUUAUAAAAAAUAAUUUCUCCCCUUUUUGUUUUUCAUCAACAAAAUCAAUAUCAAUUAAUGUCUAAUAAUUUUCAAUAAAUGGUUAUAAUUGGUUGUAGUUGGAAAUAACAGGUCUAACUAUUUAUGUCUAAAAAAUUAAUACAUGAAGGCUAUUUUUGAUUCUAGAAAAAUUAGAAAAAAAAAUAGAGAAGAAAAGUGAAAAAAAAAAAACAAAGUAAAAAAUAUACUUAAAAUUAAUAAAUUAUUUUAUAUGCUUUUUCAAAUUUAUUUCCCUUAUUUUUCUCUAUUAUAUAAAAAUUAAAUAAUUUUAAAUUGGCCUAAUAGGAAAAAAAAUUGAUUAUAACCAUAUAAAAAACCAUUGUCCCAUCUUCAGCAACAAAAUGAAUAUCAUUUAACUCAAAUACAAUGCUAACACCGAUUCCUUUGAAGCGUAAAAUGUUUAAUUGAUUCUAACUUUACAAAUGCGAAGUUGAUAUAAUUUUUAAAAAAGGAAAGAAAAAUAAGAAAAAAAAUAUUAUAACGCAAGCCAAGGACAAAUUUAGAAACUAUACUUAAAAAUAGUUUUAUAUUCUUCAAAACAUAUAAUAAUUUACUUAAAAAAUACAUUUGACAAUUUUUUUUUAUAGAAACAAUUUUUUGCGGGUUUGUUUUGAAAUAAAUUUGAGGUCUUUUGAGUUGUGUUUUGUAAACAGUGAAUAACAAUUGAAAAUAUAAAAAAAAGAAAAUUGAAAACUUUUGUAUUGAAUAUAAGUGACAAGCGUAUAAUAUUUUUAUGGAGAAUAAAUUGAGAAAUUUAUUCUUCAUAUUAGAGUUCUUAAAUAAAAUUUUAUUUUUGGAAACUAUUUUUAAAAAUUGUUUUCAAAAAUUAUCUUUUAAUAAUUGUUUUCCCAAAAAAAGAAAGUUAGGAAGAGAUCCAUCCCCACUUCUUUGUUUAGUAUUUUUUUUAAGUUUAGAGCAUUUAAUAGUUUAAAAGGUUAUUUGAUUAAAAGAGUUUUUGAAAACCCAAUUUUUAAAAUUUAACCUCUUACUCUUUUUUUUACCUUAUUUGGACAAAAAUGUCCUUAUUAUUUUCUUAUAAAAAUAACCCUCUUUUUUAAAACCUAUAUGUAAAUAUUUGAAAUGACAAAAGGCAUUUAUGUCAAAAAUUGGUUACUUUUUAAGAAAAAACAUAGAAAUGGUUAGAUUCACAAUUUAGGGAUUAUGUAGUCCAUUUUAACCAAAUAUUUCUAUUUUAAAAGAUGUAAACCAUCUAUAACUCUUCAUCCUCCAUUCUUUGUUUGUCCUUAAGUUUAGAACAUUUAAGAGUAAUUUAAUUAUAUUCAAUGUCAAAUAUAAAAAAACGAUUGUAAUGUAUUAUAAGAUAACUAAGAAUAUGUUUGAUCAUUGUCUUUGAAAAUAUUUUUUUGUUCUUUAAAAUAAAUAAAAAAUUAAAUUUAGAAAACACAUUUUGAAAUUUUUUUUAAUGACAACAAUUUUGUAAAAUAUGUUUUGAGAAUGAGUGUUUUUUAGAACAAAUUUAAAGCAUUUUUAGUUGUUUUUGUAAUAUUGUUCUCGAUAUCAAUUAAAAAACUUUAAUAUAAAUAAUGUUAUUUUAAAAACAUAAAAAUAAACGCAAUCUACACAAAGACAUAUGGGUUUUAACGUGGUUCAGUUAAUUAUACUUACAUUGACUGAUUAAAUAAAAUCAUUAUAUUAUAUCAUAUAAAAUACGAAAACCAAAUGUAACUAUUGAGUUUUCGAAACAUCAUUUCCCCACUAAAACCACGAAUACCCACCAUGUGUCUCCUAUUCUUCCUCACAUUGUUAUCCAUCUUAUAUAAUUUUUAUAAGUCUAUUUCCAUCUCAUGACCUAAUAGUCUUCCUUAUUCUAUAAGGAAAUCUAAAAUUAUAAUAACGUAGCAAUUUAGGAAAUAUUUUAUAUAGUAUUAUUUACAAAAAGAAAUCUAUAUUACUUAAAGAACUUGUGACACUUUCCAACAAUUUUCACCUUGGAUCUCUUCCAUUCACUUUCAACAAAAAUUCUUUUUGGUCAUCUUCUCAUACACUGUAUUUUCUAUGGCUCUUCCAAAAAUAUUCAUCAUAAACUAUGAUACAACAAGUAUUCAUUUUGUUAUCCUCUUGUAUACCCUAUUCUCUUUAGCUCUUCUAAAAAUAUUUAUUAUAAACUAUGAUACCAAUUUGUUAUACCAAUGGAAAUUGUAAUGUAAACAAUGUUAGUUGAAUAACACAAAAAUAAAAUAAUCCACAUAAGGAUACAAGAAGUUUUAAUAUAGUUCGACCAAUCAUGUCUAUCUUCACAAUUGAGAUAAUAUUAUUUCACUACAUCAUAAAGAACGUUACAAGGGACGAAAAUCAAAUACAACUAUUGAGUUUUUAAAAUAUCUCAUAUUUUAUCACUCCUUAUAUCUACACUCUAAACCACAAUUCUCUCACUUCAUCGACUAUCUCUCAUAUUCCUUACAUUUUUAUUCAUCUUGUGUAAUUUUUACAACUCCAUCUUUAUCUCAUGACCGUUCCCUCUAUUUUUUUUUUUACUUUACCUUCAACUAAAAUUUCUUUUGUCAUUAUCUCAUGUACUUCAUUCUUUUUAACUUGAGUUUUAAUACUAUUGUUGUGUCGACCAAAAGUUUUAAUACAAACAAUGUUAAUUUAAGAAUAUAAAGAUAAGACAAUUCAUACAAAGGUACAUGGACUUUUAAUGUGAUUCGAUCAAUUAUGUCUAUAUCCAUAAAUAAGAAAAAAUUAUUCCAUUAUACUAUAGGGAAUAUUACAAAUGACAUAAACCAAAUACAAUUAUUGAGUUCUUAGUACAUCUCAUAUUUCCUUACUCCUUAUAUUUAUACUUGAACCACGAACCACGAGUCUCUUACUCCACCAAAUGUCUCAUAUUUUUCCUCGCAUCUUUAUCUAUCUUGUAUAGACUUUAUAUGUUCAUCUUUAUCUCAUAAUUUUUUCCCUUCAUGACCAAAAAUAUUUCUAAUAAUUUUAUUUAUUCUAUAAGAAAAUGUAAUAUUACACAGACAUAUAAAUAUAAAAAAUAUUGUAUACAAUAUUUUUUUAUAAAAAAAAACUGAAUAUAUACUAAUUAGGAAUUUUAAACACUUUUCAACAAAAAAAAAAAUAUAAAUUAUAUUUUGAAACUUUUAUAUUCUACGUAAGUUUAUUGAGAAAACUAUUUUUCAUAUGUGAAUUCUCAAACACAACUUUGUUAAUUGAAAAUAAUUUAUCAAUAUUUUCAAGAAUAAUUCUUAAAAACUAUUUUUUUAAAUAUUCUCAAACAAGAUUUAACUCUUUCGUGUUUUAUUUUUUUUUAUUUUUGCUUUUAAUGCAAAAUCAAUAGCAUUAACAUCGAUUUUUUUUAGUGUAUAACAUUUACUAGGUUCUAAUUUCAUAAAAUAUAUAAUUAACAUUUUUUUUAAAUGUUACGACCCAUUUUUGGUUAAAAUAGUGUAUUAAAAUGUUCUACCACAUUUGUAAUUACUUAACAAUACUAAAUCAAUUUUUACAUCAUUAAACAAAAUUCAUACAUAUAUAAUAUCAUAAACUUUUUUCCUUAUUUGAUACGGGAUAUUACAAUUAUCGUCAUAUAAAUACAACAUCCUUGUUGUAUCCUAUGUAAAUGUAAUGUUAAAUAGAUAAACAUUCUUUGUAAAGUUGAAUAAACAAAUAUUCACAUUGAUAAGAUUGACUUCAAUAAUAUUUCUAAAUACUCACUUUAAAUCAUAUAAAUAUUAUUCACUUUAAACCUAAUAUAUCAUUAUGACUUUAAAAAUACGUUUACGUUGUUAAGAUGAUCUCAUAUAUAUUGCAUAGGAGGAAAAUUUUGUAACACUAUACAUGUACGAGAUUCCUUAAUCAUAUAAUCGCGUUUUAAAGCCAUAAAAAUCUCUUGAGCAUAAACAGGAUAAUAUCUACAAAAUUAAAAGCAGUUCAUUACAACUUUUAUUUAUUUGUUUGUUUUUAACUUUUCUAAACUCAAUUUUAAAAAUAAAAUAAAAAAUACUUUUCAAAUGUAAUUUAUGACUUGAUUUUCAACCAUCGAACCUAGGCCUCCUGGGUAUUCCAAGUGAUGCAAGCCAAGAAGGUAUUUUGGCUCUACAAGUCAUAUAUGAACUUAACUAUAUAUAUUUUAUACAUAGGCUUUAGUUUUAAUUAAAUUAUUUUAAUAAAAACACAUAUAUAAAUAAAUAUCCAUGAGAAAAAUAAAAUAUUAAAUUAAAAUUUUAACAAGUAAAUGAAUUGUGAUUAUUUUAUUUUUAAGAAUCAUUUAAUUGAUUGUUAAUAAUAUGAAAAUUACAAAUCAUGAUAAUUUUUUAAACAUGUUUUUAUUUGUAUCAAAUAUUUUAGACCUUUUUUUUCAUACAAAUCUAUCAAAGAUUUCAUCAGAAAAAUGUUUUAUAAUUCACUGCCAUUUAAUAUGAAUUUUCAUUUUUUUUAUUUGGGUAUUGACAGUGCCUGUUUUAAUUGGUAUUAAAUCCAAACGACGUCGUUUUUGAAUUACUAAUCCAAACAAUCUCGUUUUAAAAUAUUAAUAAAACGAAGUCGUUUUUAACAUCCAAACGGCGUCGUUUUUUCUUUGUCCAUAUAAACGACGUCGUUGAGCACUUCGUGAAACAAAACCCACCACUAUAAAUAUCCAGAAACCCUAACCCUAAUAAACCUUCUGGUUGCCGUCACUUGGUGUUGCAGAGAGAGGCGAGGGACCAAGAUGAAGUAUAAUCCGAGGGUUUCAAGCUCCCGCCGGAAGAGUCGGAAGGCUCACUUCACGGCGCCGUCGAGUGUCCGGCGAGUGCUGAUGAGCGCACCACUCUCCACCGACCUCCGCAGCAAGUACAACGCUCGCUCCAUGCCCAUUCGCAAGGACGACGAGGUCCAGGUCGUUCGGGGAACCUUCAAGGGCCGUGAGGGGAAAGUCGUUCAAGUUUACCGCCGGAAAUGGGUCAUCCAUGUCGAACGGAUCACUCGCGAGAAGGUUAACGGAUCCACCGUCAACGUUGGCAUCAAUCCUUCCAAGGUCGUGAUCACAAAGCUACGCCUCGACAAGGACCGCAAGUCACUC
rnacentral:lncRNA from 1 species